rnacentral:lncRNA from 1 species
GGUAGUCCAUCAUGGCCGAGCACCGCGAGCGCAGAUAGAGAGAGAUGCGCAAAACCGCGAGGGGGACGGGGAGAAGUGGAGACGCGAAGGGACGAGACGAUGAGGAGAAAGGGACGCGAAGGGCGUGUUGGAGGUGGAGGUCCCGCGGCUUCUCCGACUUCGGUGACGUGGGGAACUGUCCGGGGCAGCGCCGAGUGAGCGGAUCUGAACGGCGGCGAGCUUUCAGUCGGGGAAGGGAAGACGAAGGAGGUGCAGCGCGGCGGAGGAGGGGGCGCUGGAGGAGGCGGCACCGGGGGAGGGCGUCGGAGGAGGCGGCGGAGGAGUGGGCGCCGGGGGAGGGCACCAGAGGAGGGGGCGCGGCGUCGGGAUGAAUGGGAGUCGGGAGAGGGAGGCGGCGCGGCGUCGGGGAAGGGAGGCGUGUUGGGAUGGAAUCGAUUUCUUCGUUUUAGAUCCGGAAUGUGUCGCAGGUAAGGAAAUCAGCUCGUGGAAAUUGCUGGAAAGACGAUUUCCAAUUCCAUGCGGAGCCAAACAGGUCGGCCUAGGAAAAUAAUUCCAAUUCAGCCCAAUUCCUGCUAAACAAACGGACCCUUAGGGUUUGGGUCGGAGGAUUUCGGUCGUGUGAUGGGGGUCGGCCGCCGGCUGGGGGUGAAUAUCGCUGGGGGUGGUCUCCGCUUUUAAUUGACGUCUCGUAAGGCCGGGCGGACUCGUGGCCCUUUACCACACAAACACAGCAGUAGCGCUUGUGGCCCAAUACGGCCCAACAGCGCGAAAGAACGGCGGAAAUCUUAUGGCAAUCGAGAAAACCUCCUCCCUCGAGCGUUUUGCUUCUUCAGCAAGUGGUCCAGCCAGCGAAUUUUCCUGACAACUAUUUCCUUACAAAAUAGAUUCACAGGAAAGCUAAAAUAAAUAGGACCUAUCGUAUCUUUAAGAAGGUGGGAAACACAUUGAUCUAGGGUAUGUUUAAUUGCAUGCACCACAUGAUGCAUGUAUGGACGAUCCUGAAUGAUGGGGUUCAACCAAUUUUCUUGUAUCAUAUAUUUCACUCCUACUAGUAGAAAAAAAAAUUAAGUUGGAUGGCUUCAUCAUGGAUGAGUUGGUACAAUUUACCCAAUCAAAUAAAAAAACUAUUAUUAUUUUGAACCAUUUUAUACAUGAAUCAAAUGAUACAAGUAACCAAACACACCCAUAGUGACGGGUCCAUAGACCCAAGGUUCCCAACGGGACAGACUUCCCGCAACACUUGGCCCCACAAAGGGCUCGACAAUAUUGCGCAUCUGGGCCGGCCCAGCUGCGCAAUGCCGGGCCAAAAACACGACCCGCCCACCGACCGACUCCUCUGACUGAGAGGCCCGGUCGGAGCCCCGACGCAAGGGGUCCAGCUAGGGGUGGGACCGUAGUUCGACCCCGACCGAGUUCUCCCGAUCGAGUACUCCCGACCGGGGAUAUACCGUACCUCCUGUACUGCUCCCCCGACAGGCACGAUCAGGGCCGACUGGGACUACCGACAGGGGGCACACGCUUGGUGUGGGUCUAGGGAGCAGGUGGGACGGAUAACGAGGCGGCGCCCGAGUCAGCCGAUCGUAUGCAGAACCGUACCAUGCCACGCCCUGCGCACGCCUACACAGUGCCGCCGUAAACCUACCCGUUGCGGCGUAGUGGCCUAACAAGGAGAACAGGGACCGAGGACGGAGGCCAUACCGUACCCGAUGACGUGGGCCGCAAGACUAGAUAGCACCCGUACACUCACUCUCUCUGUCUCUCCCGACUGUAAGGUCGUUCCCUUGAACUACAAAAGGGGACGGACCCCUGUUUCUACAACAUGUUCACAACAUUUGAUAGACGUUUUUUCACACACUCCCCCAUACUCUAGUGCACGCCAGAGCUCCUACCACUCUCUUCCACUGAUAGGAGAACAAGGCCAGGACUCAGGCACCCCCUCUCAUACUCCUCUUGUUUGUACCCCCCACUACGAACUUUGAGCAUCUGAGCUCAGGAAUAAAGUUGACCGACCGACCCUAACUAGACGUAGAGCACGUUGCCCGAACCAAUAUACAUCCUGUAUCAUUGCGUGCUAGGCCACAUCCGAUCUAACGCAAUAGCAAAACUACAAAUAUUUACUUGUCGGCCAGAUUUCACAUCGACAGUUGGCGCCGUCCGUGGGGAAGACAUCGUUGCAUUCGUGUUUUAGGUCAUCGAAUGGCUAACCUUCCUGCCAUCUUCGGCAUGACGAGCUCGAGCGACACGAUUCGCUUCGGUUUGCUGGACUUUCCCACCCCCGCACUCGGUGGAGCGUGGGUUCCUCCCGUCUUCACGCCGCUCCAGGCCUUCCGUUUUGGGAGCCUGGACUUCAUCGCCGAUCAACUCGGCAUCCUCUGCCUUUGUGACGAGGUGGCUCCCCCGGCAUCCCCAGGAGGAAUGUCUCGCAUCAUCGUCUGCGAGCCGCUCGAUGACCUAGAUGUCAAGGCGCUCGCGCUUCGUAUCGAGUCCGUGCUGGGCACGAACCUCACGGUAAGUGACGUGGAUACUAUCAUGUAUUCACUUGUUAACACCUUCCGCCAGCUCUCCGGAGGAGCUCCGUUGUCACCACCACGCUCACCACACGGUUGGUUCCCUUACAGCCUCAUCACCCCCGCGAACGCGUACGCUCGGGACUUUGGAGGGUGAUAGCGCCGCUCCCUCUCGCGCUCGAGUUUGUGGGAAUGGUGGACUACGCCCUCGCCUUCUUCCACGACCUUUGUGAUGAGGAGCUCGAGAGCGAUGGCUCCAGCAUCGGCGACGCGUUGUCGCUCGACCAUCCCCUGUCCCGGGAGUGCGCCAUGGCAGAUGCCCCGGGACAGCUCCCGGAGGCAGUGGAGUCCGCUGAGACACACACCCCGCCGGACCACCGUGCGGAGGUCCUGACGCAGGUGCAAGUGCAUGGUGAUAAGCUGCCACAGUAGCAGCAGGACCAGCAGCCGCUAGCACCGGCACGCCCACCGCGUCACCCACAGCCGCACGCCUGCAACGCGGGAAGCGACACACGAAGCCGCGCCCACCAGGUUCGGUGCAACAUCAUGGCUGGGGAGGAUGACCUCCCGUAAUUCGCUCAGGCCGACCAGAACAUUGCCGCGAUGGUAAUGCUUUUGCGUAGCCUCCCUGAACCUGCUGAUCCCCUGGAGCAGGUAAUCCACCGGAACCUCCGGACACUGGUGGAAACCAUUGCGGCAUAGCAGGCGGAGAGCUCCGCGUCGUGUCAGCGACACGCAACAUCUUGCCUUACUGGAGCAUUGGGCCCGCACCAGCCGAACCGCUACGUCCAUUCGCCUCAGCAGCCCUGUUGUGCAGGUCAGAGCGCCGCGGCCGCACCGCAGCUUGACCCAGCACCAGCUCCGCAUCCCUAGCACAUGAAUGAACGCAUAGGGCCGAACCAUGACGCGCGUAUUGUCAUCCACCCGCAACGUGUGGCGCGACAUAAUGCCGACGUCGACCACAUGGCAGCGAGAGCGGAGGACAUGGGCCGCAACCAGCCCGACGAGGAGCACGAGAAGGUGCACUCUAGGCGUGGCAGCUGACCCAACGACCGAAAUGGAGAUUGAAGACCUAGCCCGGAUGGACCGAGGCCCCGGACCUUCGGCUGCCGCAUCGAGAAAGCGUCGUUCCCUCGGUGCUUCCGACCGCCCACCAACAUCACCAAGUACACUGGGGAGAUGAACCCCGAUGUGUGGCUCGAGGACUUCUGGCUCGCCUGCUGAGUCUGUGGAGUAGAUGAUCAUAACUUCAUCAUCCAGUACCUCCCCAUCUACAUAGGGGAGUUUGUUCGAGCGUGGCUCAAGUUCCUCUGCCCAAUAGCAUCCGUGACUGGGCGGAACUCAAGAAGGUCUUCGUAGGGAACUUCCAAGGGACUUAUGUCCACCUUGGGAAUUCAUGGGACCUCAAGAGUUGUAAAUAGAAGCCCAAGUUCUCGAGGCAAUGCAACUCCCUCCUGGAUGUUGUCAACGCGGAUGUCUUCAGCGCAUUCCUCUCCGGGACGACCUGCGAGUCCUUGAUCCACAAGCUCUGCUGCCAGAAGCCCUGCACCACCCGCGAGCUACUCGACCUCGCCACGAACCACGCCUCAGGUGAGGAGGUGGUCAGGGUGGUCUUCAACACCGGUUGGGACAAGGGCAAGGCCAAGCGCAAAGACCGGGAUGAGGGCCCCUCCAUGAAGCAGGGCAAGAAGAACAAGAAGGAGCAGCACCGACCGACUCACCCGAUCAUAGUAGCGGCGGCCGGCCGAUUGGGCAAGCAACCCUAGCAUGGCCGAAACGACCACUUCAAGAAGCUCAUGGAGAGCCCCUGCACCAACCAUGCCUUCCCCGUCAAGCACCUCGACAAGGACUGCGAACUCCUCAAGCGCUUCCUGCGGCAAGCCGGCAAGCUGAAGGAGCGGACAAGCAAGGAAGACGCGGCCGACAAGGAGGACGCGGCAAGCAAAGAUGGAGACAGCUUCUCUGAGCCUGAAACUUGCCUCAUGAUCUUCGGGGAACCCGACGCUGACCACUCCAAGCGCCAGCGCAAGGUGCGCCACCGAGAGGUAUGCAUCGUUGAUUCAGCUAUCCCUACUUACCUAAGCUGGUCGAAUCAUCUGAUCACUUUCGACCAGAAGGACCAUCCCACCUGCGUGCCCCGACCGAGUUGGUACCAACUCGUCAUCGACCCCAUCGUCGACAAAAAGCACCUCAGUUGGGUACUACUGGAUGGGGGUAGUGGCCUCAACAUCCUCUAUGUUGAACCCUGGAUGCCAUGCGCAUCCCCCGGUCUAAGCUCUAACCGGUCAUCGCACCUUUCCACGGCGUGAUCCUGGGAAUGCAGGUGUAUCCGCUCAGGCAGAUCAACCUACCCAUCACAUUCAGCGACUGCGCUAACUUCCACAUGGAGGUCCUAACCUUCGAGGUGGUGGAAUUUCUCGGGUGCUACCAUGCUAUCCUAGGGCACCCAUGUUACGCCAAGUUCAUGGUGGCCCCCAACUACACUUACCUCAAGCUGAAGAUGCCGGGACCAAACAGCACCAACACACUGGGUAGUAACUUCUCGCACGCCUACACAUGCGACCACAAGAACUUCGAGCUCGCCACCGACCUUGCCCACUCCGCCGAACUCCAGAAGCUCGAAAAGGAGGCUGCUCCAGCCAUGCCCGACUACAAGGAGACGACCGUCGUGAGCGCCUUCAGUCCGACUGAGGAGACCAAGGCGGUGGAGAUCGACUCCAGCUACUCGACCAAGAUGGUGCAGAUCGGGACAAAGCUCCCAACUGAAUAGGAAAGCGAGCUCGCCGACUUCCUACGCGCCAACCGGGAUGUCUUCGCAUGGAAGCCUGCUAACAUGCGUGGCAUCCCGAGGGAGGUCGCCGAGCACGCAUUACGCAUCUCCCCGGGCUUGAAGCCCGUCAAGCAACGCCUGCGCCACUUCAACGACGAGAGCCGUAGGGCUAUAGGCGAGGAGAUCGCCAAACUCCUGGCGGCCAGUUUCAUCAAGGAAGUGUACCACUCCGACUAGCUCACCAACCCAGUUCUUGUAAAAAAGAAAAAAAUGGGAAAUGGAGAAUGUGUGUUGACUAUACUGGCCUCAACAAGGCGUGACCUAAGGAUCAUUUUCCUUUACCACGCAUAGACUGGAUAGUCGACUCCACCUCAGGAUGCGAAAUCCUCUCCUUUCUGGAUGCCUACUUGGGCUAUCACCAGAUCGCGAUGAAAGAAUCCAACCAGGUCAUGACCUCUUUCCUCAUCCCGUAUGGCUCAUACUACUAUGUGACCAUGUCGUUCGGUCUAAGGAACACCGGUGCCACCUACCAGUGGUGCAUGCAAUAGUGCUUCACCGACCAGAUUGACCCGCCCGACCAACCCGACCAAGUCGAGCUAUCAAAAGGCACUAUCGCCGUCUACGUGGACGACAUAGUGGUAAAGACGGUUCACGCGAGUGACCUGAUCGCAAACUUGGUCGCAACCUUCACGAACAUUUGAAGGUUCAGCAUCAAACUGAAUCCCGAGAAAUGCGUUUUGGAGUUCUGAAGGGGAAACUACUUGGAUACAUCGUGUCCGAGCGCGGCAUCCAAGCCAACCCUAAAAAGAUCAUGGCCAUUGCUAACAUGGGCCCCAUACGCAAUGUCAAAGGCAUACAAUGGCUUACAGGCUGCUUGGCCGCUCUGAGCCGGUUCAUUUCCCGACUCGGCGAGAAGGGGAUGCUGCUCUACAAGCUCCUCAAGAAGACAGCCACGUUUGUCUAGACGGAAGAGGCACAGAAGGCUUUAGAGAGCCUCAAAUCAUUGCUGACUUUAGCCCCGGUCCUCAUCGCUCCCGAGGGAGAGGAACCCUUACUCCUCUACAUCACAGCAAGCAACCACAUGGUCAGCGCCAUUCUCGUCGUCGAGACGGAGGAGCCCAGGCACGUGCUGAAGAUUUAGCGACCGGCAUACUUCGUCAGUGAGGUGCUCACUGAUGCCAAGUUGUGCUACCCCUAGGUGCAGAAGCUUCUGUACGCCGUCCUGAUGGCGAAUCGAAUAUUCCUACACUACUUCACCGAGCAUGAGGUUAUGGUCGUCACCUCGUCCUCUCAUGGCAGCAUAUUGCCAAGAGGUGCGCAAGCUCGAGGGCAAAUUCCGGGGGAUCGAACUGCAUCACGUCCUACGAAAGGACAACAACGCCGCUGACUCCCUAGCAAAAAUGGUAGCCAAACAGGAACCAACACCAGAUGGAGUCUUCGUGAAUGACCUCCGCGAGCAAUCCACCCGCGUCUGGGAUGACCCGACGUAGACGCCGCCUAGCCCUGACCAAGCGCUCGGGGGCUCUGCCGUGCCGACGCGGCCUGACGCCGACCAAUGGCUCAAGGGCUCUGAUUCGGAUAAUGUGGUGAUGAUGCUUCAUCCAGCUAACUGGAGGGCGCCACUACUCACUUACAUCCUCGAAGAAGUCCUCCCACUGGAGAGGAUGGAAGCACGAAAAAUCUCUCAUCAUGCCAAGACGUUCAUUGCCAUCGGCGACGAACUCGACAAAUGAAGUCCGUCAGAGGUACUCAUGAAGUGCAUCCCGACUGACCAGGGGAAGUAGCUUCUCCUCAAAGUCCACGUCGGAAUUUGCGGACGUCACACGGCCCCACGUUCGCUGGUCGGGAAAGCUUUCUACCAAGGCUUCUACUGGCCACAGCACUGUGCGACGCAAAGGAGGUGGUCUGCAAGUGAGAGGGAUGCCAGUUCUACGCUCGGCAGACUCACCUGCCAACGUAGGAACUACAGACCAUUCCCAUCACCUGGCCAUUUGCGGUCUAGGGCCUCGACAUGGUCGGGCCCCUCAAGAAGGCCCCAGGUGGGCACACACACAUGCUCGUGGUGGUGGACAAGUUCACUAAGUGAAUCGAGGCGAAGCCCAUCACCAACAUCCGCUCCCAAGAGGCGGUCGGGUUCUUCCUCAACAUUAUCUACCGGUUCAGAAAUCCCAAUUGUAUCAUCAUAGAUAAGGGAACAAACUUCACUGGCAAGAAGUUCCUAGAUUUUUGUGAUGGCUACGGUAUCAAGGUUGGCCUCGGUCGGACACCCGCGGACCAACGGCCAGGUCGAGCGAGCCAACGACAUGGUCUUCCAAGGACUCAGCCAGGCAUCUUUGACCGGCUCAAGAAGCACACCGGCUGAUGGGUCACGAAGCUUCCAGUAGUCCUCUGGAGCGUGAGGACGACCCCAAACCGAUCGAUGGGGUUCACCCCCUUCUUCAUGGUAUACGGUGCUGAGGGGUGUUGCCAUCCGACCUUGACUACAACGUUCCAAGGGUAAAGGCGUUCGAUCCCGACCAAGCUGUGGAGGCUCAACAGGACACGGUCGACCUACAUGAGGAAGCACGCAAAAUGACGCUCAUCCGCUCUGCCCGCUGCCAACAAACCCUUCGCAGGUACCACGAGAGGAAGAUCCGGGGAAGAAUCCUUGAGGUUGGCAACCUCGUACUUUGGAGGACCCAAACAACCAAGGACAAGCACAAGCUCUCUCCACCAUGGGAAGGACCAUACACGGUGGCCGAGGUGAUCUGCCCGGGCACCUACUGACUGAAGGACGAUGACGGCAACAUCCUCGCCAACACUUGGAACAUUGAGUAGUUACGUCAUUUCUUUCCUUGACUCAGUUCAUUACCAGUCCUUCUCCAUUCAACACUUGCUCCUACAACACCCCAGCCUGAACACAUUCGGCCUGGGUCACUCAGGGGCUCCAUGGGGCUAUGGCACUGUGGCGGAACCGCCCAACUUAAACUGGUUUAACUGCGCCUAAUCGCUGUUAGAACAACAAUUAUCUGAAACGCACUUAAAACAGUAUAAGUCCGGUAGUCCGUCGAGUGUCCCUAGGACUCCUCGAACGAUCCACAUCAUGUCUCAUAGCCAUACACCAGGAUUACUUCCAUGAUGGGAAAGCAUCAACAAAUAUUACAUUUUUCCAUACAUACAUGAGGUACGAGUUAUUACAGAACGUAGUUUGAAAUAAACUUAACAGUGCAGGUUAGAGAGAUUCUAGGAGUUUAAAACAUAAACUGGUCCAGGUGAGAGAUGAGCAUUUAAGUUUUCUUCUGAGGGUAUUGCGAGACUCGUAACAAUACCCUAGUUUUUCGGGGCCUCCUCCUCUGCGGACUCCUGCGGUGAUUCUGAAAACAGCCACAAGGGAUAACCCUGAGUACGGGGUACUCAGCAAGGAUUACCUGACUAACCAAUAUAAUAGUUUUUCUGGAACUAUAUGAUAGCUUUUUGGUGUACUGGCUGACACACUUUUUGCCAAAAGAGCUUACUAAAAGUGAGACCUUAGCUUUAUCUUUUAUUCCAAUUAAGUCAUUACCUAACCAUUCUAAAUGAUGACAAAAGAAUAUUUUGCAAGCAGCAAGAUAUUUAAGUCAUACACCAAGUUAUUAUUGGAAAGACAUUGCAUUUAUGAAAUUAUACUACGAUGCUCAACAAUGAUCAAGUGCAUUCAUAACCGAGAAUUGCGGCGAUCCAGAUAAAUUUACAUCCUGCAGGAGAGUACCUUGAUCACCAGCUAUGUACGACUGUCCAGGUCAUACAUAACGACCUUUCGAUUAGCAAACCCAAGGAUUGGGAAUAAGACUACCCGAACCCAGGGACGCACCCCCACAUGGGACCCCACGUCUGGUCUGAUCUCCAUGUGAGUUUCAGGCUACGCACCUGCCAAUGUCAAGCACGUCAAGCACGGGUACGAAGUAUUCGCAAUCAGAGAGUCUACUAACCUACCGGGCUUUACUGGUCCCAUACCCAGUAAGUAAUCAGGUGUCAUUCACUUGAUCAAAGGUUAAGACAACGAUCGGGCCUUAACCAGAUUAAACUAGCAGACAGAACUAUCAUCUCUAGCUUCUGCCUGCUUUCAACUCCCAAGCUACCUUUCCAUACUUAGCAUGUAUGACUCAACGUUUCACCUUAAGGUUUGGUAAACAAGUUACUUUAAGCAACUAAGCAUUUCUAAACUUGGGUUCCUUACUAAUUGUUUGAACAAGUGGCAAAGAUGUCCUUAAAACAAGGUAUGAUAAUGCACAAGAAUGGGUUUCAAUCAAUUCCUAGACUUAGUGCAUUCAUAUAAAAAUUAACCAAUAAUUGGACACAUGAAAUAAUAAUUCCAAAGUAGAUAAGUAUAAAUGCACCGGAGCUUGCCUUGUUCUAUAAAAAUAUUAGCACUGUCCGACGGAUUGGCUUCACAGGGGAUCGAUUCAAUGAUCUCUUCAAACUCCGGAGAUCCUUCUGAUAAUUCCAAGAAAUCCUCUUCCGGUGCUUCGGUGUCUAUGAUAAAGCAUAUGCAUGGGUUAGUGAUGCAACUUUUUGAAUACAAGACUAUACAACUUUCCUUCAUGAUAAAGUUGGAAGCCAACAAGGGACUACACAAUUUAUCAUGAUGAAGUUGCGAGCCAACACACAAAAAAAACCCAAAAAGAUUAACCCACCAUUUUUAUUUUCUUUACUAACCUUACCUUAGGAUUUUUCUUUUGUUUUUAGAAAAUAUUAUAAUUAUUUUCUAGCCUCAAAAUCUAAGUUCCUAUAGGUUAAUAAUAAUUUGUGAUUAUGAAAACAUUAUUCCAUAUUUAUGUAUUAAUAAAGCUUAAGUAUUUAUUUAAAUACCUUAAUGAAAAGGCAUUAAACAAAUACGUAAAUUUUAUUAUUUUUCCUAGGGUAUAAAAUUUUUUAAUACAUAAAGGAAAAUAAAACAAUCCUAACAAAAUUGGUUUCACUAAUUUUGGACACCCCAAGAAAUUUCUAUGAUUUAAAUGGUGAUAUAUGAAUUUAAUCUAUUAAUCUUACAAAAGAAAAUCUAUAUUCUUUCCCAAAAACCCCCGGCCUACUUUUCUUACUCACCGCCUUCCUACCCCCUCUCUCUCACGCUGGGCCCGCGGCUCGGACCCACCUCCUUCCUUGUUCCUUCUACCCGCCGGCCCUUUUCUCCUCUGCCGGGCUCACUGGGCCGAUUCCCUUUCUCCUCGUCUUUCCUUAAUCUGGUACCGGCCCACGGCCUACUGCUCUUUCCCUCUCCUUCCUCUAAUGCCCGGCCUGCUAACCUGUUCGUCGGCCUGCUGGACCGCUGGCCCAACACACCCUCACGGCGCCCCGGAUCGGAGCUUGGGCUUAUAGGACUCCGGCCCACCAUGCUUUCGCUGCGCCCCGGCCGGUCUCUUCUAUGCUUCCCCCCCUUUUCUCCGACUGACACGUGGGCCCGCUAUCACCAGCGUCUUCUUCCUUCUCGCGCCAAAACCCGAGCGCGGCAGGGGGCGGCACGGCUCGCCGGCCGGCGCCCCACCGACGACGGGGCUAGGCUAGGAAAGCAUCCCCAUACCAAAGCGCACCCGUGCGCGGCGGCAGCUCCCCGGGAGGUGGCCGGAGCUCCCCUCUCCACGGCGGCGGGCGGUGGAGCUGACUGCUGGCCGUGACCAAGCACGACGACGGCGCAACCCACCCCUCCGACUACCCCUACAGCUUCCUAGAACCCUAGACACUUACCUACGGCUUACCGCAAAGAAGGACAGCGACGGCAAAGAGAUGCUCACCGUGAGCAGGGGGGUCUUGCGGCAGCGGACGAUUACAGCAGCGGUCACGGGUGCGCCGGCGGAGAAGCUGGACAACAAGCUGACCGGGUUGUUGGUAGGGUGUGAGUGGAGGUGUGGACGAAAGGAAUCGACGGGAGAUGCGUUGUGGUGGUGGAAUUUUUUGGUCGGCGCUGGUGGUUUGACAGAGAGGGUCGGCGGCGGUAAAAAGACAGGUGGUAAGGAGCAGCGGCGGGAACGGUAGAUAUACGAAGUUUCACUGUGCGCAUGGAUGACACUGUGGCCUAGCCAUAGACUUGCGUGGUGAAGCGGUGGCCCUAAGCGUCGAGCUGGACAGCGAGCAAGGGCACCGGCGGCGACACGUCUCGCCCUCUCUGAUUUCCUUUCCCCCUUUUCUUUCUUUCAUCAGAAUGUUCAGACUUUCCCCGUGGCCGAUUUUCAAUCCGAUGGUCCACAAACCUCUUAAGCAAAGUUGGAGAUAAUCUCAAGCUCUUCAAUUUUUAUUUUGGCUCUUGCUCGAGAUAAUCAUCUAACGUGGUCAAUUUUGAAUUUCUUUCUCAGUUCCACUGAAAUGCCCUGAAACUUGAAUUCAGUUCGACAGUCACCAUAUAUGGCCAUUUACCCUUCUGUUAAUUCACUUCCAGUGGCCCAAACUCAUUCUUUUUAGUCCAUCUACUAUCCAUUCGUGCUCUACAAUCAUCAGGGAUUCCAUUUUGCUCAUAAACUCCCAUACCUUUUGUACUACAUUUUUCUAAAUCUUGCUCCAAACUCAGGCAUUUGCUGCUGUUUCAGACUUAGACAAAAAUUCAGUUCAGCAGCUAAGUUGACCGUGGUAAAGUGCUGACUUUGAGCCUCAAUUUAAAAUUGGUCCCUCUACUAUUCUUGACCAACAACACCCUAAUAUACUUCUCCAAAGUUCAUACUUCAUUGCUGUAUAGUUGCUUUGGUCCACUUACUUGAAAAUUGUGGCAGAAAUUAAUUUCCAAAAUGGAUACUUAUACUAUUUUUGAGAAAUUCUAUUUUCGGACAAUGAACAGUACACUGUUGUUUUGAUUUUUCCAUUGUCUUUCUUGAGAUGUUUAGGGCUCGGUUUAGUCUCCAAUCUUGAUCCCCAAAGUUGUAAACACUCUCAAGCUUCCAUUCCAUAUUUUUGCCCAAUUUUUCUGAAUUUAGAAUUCAAAAUUCAAAUUUUGAUCAAAUUUGACUUGAAUUUGACUUUUAGUCAAUUUCUUCUCUUUUUCUCCAGAGUUCACCUUUAAUUUUUCUUAAUCACCUUUGAUGAUUGAAACACCAGGUGUUACAGGUCUCGAGAUUCCAUGGGUUACUCAGUUUUGAGAAUGGAAAGGAAACUGCGUCAGAUAAGACAUUUUUCUCUUUUCUGUAUUAAGAAGGUGGGGUGGUGGCUUUUGUUUAUCUGAUUUUGACAGUUUCAAAUAGCUCGGGAUAUUUGGACUCUAAGUCUUCAGCCUGUUCCCUAGUAGCUUCAUCUGGAGUAUGAUUCUUCCAUUGUACCUUGUAAAACUUAAUACUUCGAGUUCGGGUAUCUCUUGUCUUUUCAUCCAGAAUUUUAAUAUGCCUUUCCUCGUAGGUGAGGUCUAGCUCGAGCUCAAUUUCCUGAUCUUCUAGAAUUUCUUCUGGAACUCUUAAGCACUUCUUAAGCUGGGAUACAUGAAAUACAUCAUGUAUAGAAGCAAGUUGGGCUGGUAAUGAAAGCUUGUAUGCCACCGGACUCUUUCGUUCCAGAAUCUCAUAUGGACCAAUAUACCUUGGGGCUAGUUUACCUUUUACACCAAAACGUUGCACUCCUUUCAUUGGAGAUACCUUCAGAUAUACAAAGUCUCUGACAUGAAAUUCCAAAAACCGUCUUCUUUUAUCUGAAUAACUCUUUUGUCGAGACUGGGCUAUUUCUAAAUGUUUACGAAUCUUUCGGACCUUUUCUUCAGUUUCCAUAACCAAAUCUGAUCCAAAUUGUGUCCUCUCUCCUACUUCUGACCAAUUCAAGGGGGUUCGGCAUCUUCGACCAUACAAGGCUUCGAAAGGCGCUAUUUUAAUACUAGCUUGAUAGCUAUUAUUAUAGGAGAACUCAGCUAGGGGCAAACAUUCAUCCCAUAGCUUAGAGAAGGUAAGGACACAAGCUCGCAACAUGUCUUCCAAGAUUUGGUUGACUCUUUCUGUCUGUCCCCCGGUUUGAGGAUGAUAGGCAGAGCUUGUGAUUAGAGUAGUCCCCAUAUCUCUUUGCAGUUGUUCCCAAAACCUGGAAACAAACUGGGAGCCUCGAUCAGAAAUAAUUUUCUUUGGUACCCCGUGCAGAGACACAAUUCGGGCCAUAUAGAUCUUUGCAUACGUCGAUACUGGAUAUGUAGUCUUGACGGGGACGAAAUGGGCUGACUUAGUAAGUCGGUCAACAAUAACCCAUAUGGAAUCAUACCCUUUUGAAGUAGUAGGCAACCCAACUAUGAAGUCCACGGAAAUAUCUUCCCACUUCCAGCCGGUAAUUUCUGAGGGCUCAAGUAAGCCCGCCGAGUUUUGUAGGAUUGGUUUAACUCUUCGGCAGGUGUCGCAUUCGGCUACAUACCUUGCAAUUUCUGGUUUCAUUCUGGCCCACUAGAAUCUCUGCUUCAAAUCUUGGUACAUUUUGUUGCUUCCGGGAUGAAUGGCGAACUUAGAUAGAUGUGCUUCGUCCAAGAUCAUCUUCCUUAGGUUUUCAUCCUUAGGAACUACUAUCCUUUUCUUGAAAUAUAGUCCCCCAUCAUUUUCUUGAGUGAGUUUAGGAAUCUUUCCUUCUACUUUCUGUUUAUAAAGUACCUUUAUCCAUGGAUCCUUCCUCUGGACUGUUAUAAUUCUUUCCUUUAGAGUGUCUUGCAUGAUAAUGUUCUGGAGGGUACCUUGCGUCACUAUUUCCAAACUCAAAUCUUCUAACUCUUCACACAGGGUCUUAAGCCCAGAUUGAACAGUGGUGCAGUGGCAUUGUGCUUUCCUGCUCAAUGCAUCAGCCACCACAUUAGCCUUACCAGGAUGGUAAUGGAUUUCUAACUUAUAAUCCUUAAUUAAUUCUAGCCACCGUCUCUGUCUCAUAUUCAAGUCCAUUUGAGUGAAAAUGUACUUUAAGCUCUUGUGGUCAGUAAAGAUACGACAUUCACUACCUAAAAGGUAGUGCCACCAUAUCUUUAAUGCAUGGACUACAGCAGCAAGUUCCAAAUCAUGGGUAGGGUAAUGCUCUUCAUGGUGCUUCAGUUGUCGAGAAGCAUAAGCAAUGACUCUACCUUCUUGCAUAAGAACACACCCUAUCCCUAUUCCGGAGGUGUCAUAGUACACAUCAAAGGGUUUUUCUAAAUCAGGUUGAGCUAGUACUGGCGCUGUAGUUAGUAGCUUCUUUAAUGUUUGAAAUGAUUCUUCACAUUCGGGGCUCCACUCAAAUUUCACUUCUUUCUUUAACAACUCCGUGAUUGGCUUGGAAAUUUUUGAGAAGUUAGGAAUGAACCUACGGUAAUACCCGGCCAUUCCUAGGAAACUUCUCACUUCAUGAACAGAGGUCGGUGGUUUCCAAUCCAAUAUGUCCUUGACCUUUCCGGGGUCUACUUCAAUUCCUUUUUCGGAUAGAACGUGCCCAAGGAAUGGAACUUUCUUUAACCAGAAUUCACAUUUACUGAGCUUGGCAUAUAACUGAUGUUCCCGGAGUCUAUUUAGAACAAUACGCAAAUGUUGCGCAUGUUCCUCUUCAUUUUUAGAAAAGACUAGGAUAACAUCUAUAAAGAUGACCACAAAUUUGUCUAAUUCAGGCAUGAAUACUGAAGUCAUGAGGUACAUAAAAUGCGCUGGGGCAUUUGUCAGUCCGAAGGACAUAACCAGAUAUUCAUAUAAUCCGUAUCAGGUUGAGAAGGCAAUUUUAGGUAUGUCUUCGGGCUUUAUCUUAAUCUGAUGAUAUCCUGACUGAAGGUCGAUUUUUGAAAAGACCUUGGUUCCAGCUAGUUGGUCGAAUAACAAGUCAAUCCGUGGCAAAGGAUACUUGUUCUUAAUGGUUAUCGCAUUUAAAGGGCGGUAAUCCACACACAACCUCAAUGUGCCGUCUUUCUUUUUAACAAACAGUGCAGGGAAGCCCCAUGGUGAAGUACUAGGUUGGAUAAAACCUUUAUCUAGCAAUUCUUGGAGUUGGACUUUAAAUUCUGCCAACUCCUUAGGUGGCAUUCGAUACGGCCUUCUGGAGAUAGGAGCAGUGCCAGAUUCUAACUCAAUAGUAAAUUCUACCGCUCUAUCAGGCGGUAGUCCAGGAAGAUCCUCCGAAAACACAUCUACAAACUCAUUAACCACAGGAAUAGACUCUAGAGUCACUACUCUAGUAUUUUUAACCAUCUGGUCCAGACAAGGAUGAGCAAGUAAUUGGAGCUUAAAAGGGUGGCCUUGUUUGUCCCUCGUACUAACGAUUCGGUUAUCCACAUCAAUUUGAACUUUAUGUUCCUUCAUCCAAUUCACCCCCAAAAUAAUAUCUAUUCCUUGAUCUUCCAAAAUUAAAGGAUAAACACCCACCUUAUUUCCUUCUAAAUUCAAAAUCACAUUGCGAGCUACCUGAUUUGUAUUUUGAGUAGCUCCAGUAGCUUGAAUAGCAUAUUUGAUAUUUAAGGUGUGCACUUCUAGUUGGUGUUGCUUAACAAAUGCUUUGCUUAUAAAGGUAUGUGAUGCACCCGAAUCAAAUAGAAUCAUGGCAGGGUAAUCAUUGACAAAGAACGUACCUGCCAGAAUAGGUUCACCUUCUAGGAUCUCUUCUACAUUCAUAUAGUGAGCCUGCCCCGUCUUGGUAUUCAGAAAUUUACGGCGAACCAACUUUUGUCCGACGCCCUGGCUAGAGGUUUGAGCCCUCAAAUUUGCGUUUCCUCCAACUUUGGGAAAACGGCAAUCCCGGGCAAAGUGUCCCGGCUUUCCACAAUUAAAACAAACCUAUGGGUUCCCUUGAGGAGUAGGGCUGCGAAACCCAAGAGGCGGCGCAUUCCCAGUGUGGCGGAACCACCCAACUUAAGCUGGUUUAAGUGCGCCUAAUCGCUGUCGGAACAGCAAUUAUCCGAAACGCACCUAAAACAGCAUAAGUCCGGUAGUCCGUCGAGUGUCCCUAGGACUCCUCGAAGGAUCCACGGCGUGUUUCAUAACCAUACAUCAGGAUAAUAUCCGCGAUGGGAUAAUAUCAACAAAUAUUACAUUUUUACAUAUAUAUAUAAAAGGUACGAGUUAUUACAGGACAUAAGUUGAAACAAACUUAGUGAUGCAGUGUUAGACAAGCUCUAAGAUUUAAACAUAAAUAGUUCAGGAGAAGAUGCGCACGUAGAACUUUUUCUCUAGGGUAUUGUGAGACUCAGGUCAAUACCCUAGGGCUUCGGGGUCUCCUCCUCUGCAGCCUCUUGCGGAGCUUCUGAAAGAUAGCCACAAGGGGAAAAACCCUGAGUACGGGGUACUCAGCAAGUCUUACCCGACUAACCAAUAUAAUAGUUUUAUUUGGAAUGCAUGUCAGCCUUUGGGGUGUGCUUGGUUGACACAAUUUUUGCCGAAAAGCUUACUACGAGUAAAGCCUUAGUUUUAUCUUUUAUUUGGGUUAAGUUAUUACCUAACCAUUCUAAAUGAUAACAGAAGUAAAAGCAACCAUAGCUGUUAAAUCAUACAUCAAUUGAUAACAGGAGAAUACAUAUUGCAUGAAUUGAUACUACGAUGCUCAACAGUGAUCAAGUGCAUUCAUAACCGAGAAUUUCGGCGAUCCGGAUCUAAUUACAUCCCGCAGGAGAGUACCCUGAUCACCAGCGUUAUACGACUGUCCAGGUCGUAUCUAACAACCUCUCGAUUAGCAAACUCAAUGGUUAGGAAUACGACUACCCGGACCCAGGGAUGCACCCCCACAUGGGACCCCACGUCUGGCCCGAUCACCAUGUGAGUUUCAGGCUACACCCCUGCCAAUCUCCAACACGUCAAGCGCGGGUACGAAGUAAUCCUGAUCAUAGAGUUUACUAAUUUACUGGGCUUUACUGGUCCCAUACCCAGUAAGUGAUCAGAUGCUUAUCACUUGAUCAAAGGUUAAGACAACGAAUCGGGCCUUAACCAAAUUAAUCUAGCAGACAGAACUACAUCUCUAGCUUCUGUCCGUUUUCACUUUCCAAGUUAUCCUUCAUAAGCAACAUGUAUGACUUAAGAGUUUUCCUUAAGGUUGGUAAACCAAGCAUGUAAGCAAGUAAGCAAUUCUAGACUUGGGUAUCUUCUAAGGUUUGAACAAGUGGCAAAGAUGUCCUUAAAACAAGGCAUGAUCAUACACAAGAAUAGGUUUCAAGCAACUCCUAGACUUAGUGCAUACAUAAAGCAAAUAACCUAUAACUAGUCACAUGAAAUAACGACUCCAAAAUAGAUAGGUAUAAAUGCACCGGGGCUUGCCUUGUUCGCUAAAAAGAUUAGUAGACUCUGACGGGUUGGCUUCACAGGGAACUAACUCAAACACUUCUUCGGACUCCGAAGGUCCUUCUGAAAAUUCCCAAUAUACUCCUUCCGGUGCUUCGGGAUCUAUGGCAUAAUACAUGCAGGGGUUAGAAUUCAACAUUUUGAAUUAAAGACUAUACAAUUUUUCUUCAUGAUAAAGUUGCAAGCCAACAAGGACUAUACAACCUAUCAUGAUAAAGUUGUAAGCCAACACAUAAAAACCCAAAAGAUUAACCCACAAUUUUAUUUUUCUAAUUUAACCCUUCUUAUAGCUUUUUCUUUUAUCUUUAGAAAAAGUUAUAAUUAUUUUCUAACUUGAAAAUCUAAUUUCCUAUGGGUUAAGAAUAAUUUGUGAUUAAGAAAGUGUUAUUCAUAUUUUAUACAUUUUAUAAAUAUUAAGUAUUUAUUUAAUUACCUUAAAAGGAAGGCAUUAAAUAAAUACCCAAAUUUUUAUUAUUUUUCUAGGGUGUAAAAAUUUUAAUGCGUAAAGGAAAAUAAAAAAAGCCUAACAAAAUUGGUUUCACUAAUUUUGGACACUCCUAUAAAUUUCUGUGAUUUAAAUGGUGUAAAACGGAUUUAAACGAAUUAUUUCACUAAAGGAAAUCUAAUUUUUCCCGAAAUCGCCCGGAAAUACUUUUCUCACCCGGCCCUUCUCUACCCUCUCUCACGCGCACUGGGCCCCACAGCGCGGACCCCACCUCUCCUAUUCAUUUCUACCCGCCGGCCCUAUUUUCCCCCUAACGGGCCCCGUGGGCCGAUUCUCCUUUCCUCCUCCUUUCUUUGGCCUGACACCGGCCCACGGCCCUCCUUCUUUUUCCUUUUUCUUUCGCGACAUCGGCCUGUUAGCUGCUCUGGGCCCUCGGCCUCUUUCCUUUUCCGGCCGACCCGCGCGUACUUCACUGGGCCUCCAGGCCACGGCCCAACAGAUGGCCGCGCCGCUUCCGGCCUCUCUCUCUCUCUCCCUCUCUUCCCACUGCCGCGCGGGCCCAACGCCCGGGUGCUUCUUCCUCCUCCCGCCAAAACGCGCCCGUGACAGGGGGCGGCGCAACCCGCCGGCCGGCGCCCCACCGGCGGUAAAGCUCGGCCAGGACAACACCCUUACACCUUCACGCACCCGUUCGCAGCGACAGCUCCACGGGAGAUGGCCGGAGCCAUCCCCUCCACGGCGACGGGCGGCGACACCCUCGGCCGGUGGUGACUACUCACGACAACGGCAUAACCUACUCAAACAUCUACCCCUACACCAUCCUAGGACCCUAAGGACUCGACUACGACUACUCAAGAAGGAAGAGAUGCAGCGCGAAGUAGAGCUCACUGUGAGCGGGCGGCGCGACGACGGCGGACAGAAGCGACGGCGAGCAUGGUUACUUUGGCAUGGAUGUUGGACAACAACUGGUCUGUGUUGGAGGUAUGCCCUAGAGGCAAUCAUAGAGAUGAUGAUAUUCCAUUUGUAUCCAUGAUUUGUAUAUUGUGUUCAUUGAAUAUCCAUUAAAGGCUACUUGAAUUGAUUUGCAAUUAUGUGAAUUGUAUGUGAAACUCUUUACUUGUAUGGUUAUUCUAAAGUUGUCCCUAGUCAGAGUUCAUGUGAGGACACACAUGAAUAUUAGACUAGCACAUGUAUUAGUUGAUGACUAUGUUUCACAAGUUAUGGACAUGGAGAAGUUGAACUAAUAAUGUGGACACAUGUGGAGACAUGUGUUAGGACUGACCCAACAUGAGAAGUAGUUCUCUCUUUAUACAACAUAUACGCUUUGUCCUUAGACCUGAGAUUGUCGCAUGUAUUCUAGAUGUGGAUCGACUUACUUAGGGGCUAUCAAACGCUACGCCGUAACAGGGUAGUUAUAAAGGUAGCUUUCGGGUUUGUCAAGAAGCAUGCUAUGAGACAUGGUCAAUCAAGAUGGGAUUUGCCCCUCUCUGAUUGAGAGUGAUAUCUCUGGGCCCCUCGAGUGAUCGGAUCCAAAAAUGCAUGGCCAUGCUACGUACGGUUAAGAGUUAACCUACAAAGGGAUUCCGAAUCACAGGAUCGAGAAAGAGCGGUCGGCUUGAAGCUAGACCAAAUAUCGUGAGGCAAAGGGAAUAACAUGUAUAUUAUGUUGUGAUGGUUCGUCUCAUAUGAUCUUCGUGUGCGUAUAGGAGUUGGCACGUCUUGCUAGAGGCCGCUACCGACUAUUGGGCCGAGUAGGAGUACUCGGGCCAUGUCUAUACGUAUCCGAACCCAUAGGGUCACACACUUAAGGGGCUGGAAGCCCAAUUCGGAUCUGAUCCGAGUUGGAUUAGGUUUAGGAGUACUAAUGGGCCUCGGAUCCAGAGGCCCAUCAGGAACCUCUAUAAAUAGAGGGGUGGGGGCACCCUAGGGUUUACACCUUUUUGGCGAAACACACUUGCCGCGCCUCCCACGCCCUCGCCUGUUGCAACUCGCGGAUCUAGCAAUCCGGCUUGCGACGCUUCCUCCCUGCACGUGUGGAUACCUUGGAGGUGUUGCGCCUGCAGCACUUGGACGAGCCAUCGACGAGCCGCCGACGAGCCACGACGAGCCGACGACGAGCCGCGGCACCGGAGGCGAUCUUGCUGCACGUGGACGAGCUGCUGAGGAGCUGCUGGACGUGAUCGACUACGUACGACUACGUGAUCGUCUUCACUGCACCGACGCAUAUCUACAUCUUCCGCACCAGUAGUGCGUCGAGUGGUAAUCCCGUGAUCCUUAUACGGCAGUUCUUCCUGGUUAUACGCGGUAGAAAUUUUGAUUUGCGCUAGUGUAGCCUACCUCGUAUCCCAACAGUGGCAUCAGAGCCGUAGCUGCUUAGUUUUGGAUUCGGGAUGUGUGCAUAUGGAGAUAUGCGAGUUCUCUGUUUGAUCUAUGUCCUGAUUUCGUGCCCUUGCUGCAAUGGUAGUGUAACGACAUACUCCUACCGGUCGGUUUCCGCCAUCGGAGUUAAGUGAUACACGUAAAUCCAGUUGCAGUGAGGGAAGAUCAAUAUGAUUGGUCGAAUCGAGAUCCAGGGUCAUACGCCAGGCGCAUUAGAUGUGCAAUAGUAGAUGGGAUCUACUGCCGGGGUCGGGAUUUUGCCGUAUGCGUAUGCUUCGGUAAAUCAGCCGUAACUUUUCGGUACGAUCUCGGAUCGGGGCGAUUUUUAUACGAAAAUUGAUCUACAGAAAAAGUUACACAUGAAAUUCAACUGCUUCGCCAUUUUCGGCGAAAUUAGAUUUCCCAAAUUCGGCUUGCAAGAUGGAGUUUCGGGCCUCCGAAGUUUGGAACGUUAGGACGCCUAACUCUGUUUUGCAGGAUGUAUGUAUGUAUCUUGUGAUCAGUAUGGCCCCCUUGUGUAUGUGAUGCAUGUGUGUAACUCAUUCGUGACCUGCGUGUCGCGCGUACGGCAACACGGCAGGAGCCAUAUGUGUUGUCACUUUAUUGUAUUUAAUGGUCUGCGUACCAAUCUGUGAUGAUCCAAGCAACUAUGUAAUCUUCAUUACUAGAUUCUUUACUAGCUAUUAGGCGUAAUAGCAUGCUCUAGUUCUUGGAGGACUCAUCACCAGGAGGAUGGCGCACAUGGAACAUGGAGAUGGAGAUCACCAUGGUGAACAGGUUCUAUGGAGAUGGAGAUCACCAUAUGAAAACGGGCCAUACUGUGUCACAACUAUGUGAAUGCUAUUCUGUUUAUGUUUUACUUUCUGCAUGCUGUGAUGUUAGAAGUAGAACGAUCCCUCACAAAGUUUAAGUUAGUAUGCCCUCCCAACUAAAACUUGCACCGUCCCAUGUCUUCUACAAUUAGUGGUGGGUCUAUGAAAUUAGGGUGCCACUAGUUUUCCUUGACUAGACGGGUUUGUGUCGGACACUUACACGCAUAAGGGUUGGUUUGCUUAACAAGGUUAUCUUAACGGUUAAGGACCUUGGGGCAUAGAGGUUGGGCGCCGAGACAUAGAGAUGUCACCCAACAACAGGAGUCAUAUGUGAUAUGAUUAGCAAAAGUUGCUUACUGAUCUACCUCGUUUGCUAGCGGUGAUGCUAAAGCUCACUAGUGGACUUGUUAGUUGUGGAUCCUGAAUCACUAAGUUUCAAUAGAGGGAUAUUGAUUUUAGUGGGAGUAGAUUCUGUUAAAAUAGUUUAAUGUAAUUUGCUCUAUCAUGGAUAUGUUUGUCUUAGUGUAUUUUGCAUUACUUUUGUUGUAGAUAAAAUGGCACCUAGCAACACCACCACAUCGUUUGCUUUGCGUUCGGUCCUUGAGAAGGACAAGUUGAAUGGAACAAACUACUCGGAUUGGAUCCGUAACCUGAGAAUUGUUCUCAGGGCUGAGAAAAAGGAAGAUGUUCUAGACAACCCACUACCAGAAGAACCUGCUGAUGAUGCACCCGCUGCUGCUAAGAAUGCUUACAAGAAAGCAUGUGAUGCUAACCUCGAAGUAAGCUGCCUUAUGCUUGCUUGCAUGGAACCCGAGCUGCAGAUGCAGUUCGAAACAAACCAUGAGGCGCACGAUAUGAUCGUGGCGCUUAGAGACAUGUUCCAAACACAGGCCAAGACUGAAAGGUUCAAUGUGUCUAAGGCCUUUGUUUAGAGCAAGCUAGCAGAAGGCGCAGCAGUAGGACCACACGUAAUCAAGAUGGUUGUUUACACUCAACGGUUGGAGAAGCUAGGCUUCCCACUGGGCCAAGAGUUGGCCACUGAUUUCAUUCUUUCGUCUCUUCCGCCUAGCUAUGGGAAAUUCAUCUCGAACUACCAUAUGCAUGGGACGGAGAAGGGUCUGAAUGAGCUGUGUGGUAUGCUCAAGACAGCAGAGGCUGACAUCAAGAAAAGCGCUAGUACCAGCCAUGUGAUGGUGAUACAGAACAAGCCCAGCUUUAAGAAGAAGGGAAAUUCUUGGAAGAAGAAGGGCAAGGCUGGAACGUCCAAGCCAAACCCACCGCCCAAGGUUAAAGCUGGACCUGGACCUGCUCCAGACAAAGAGUGCUUUUACUGUCAUGAACUUGGUCACUGGAAGAGAAACUGCAAGCAGUACCUAGCUUCCUUGAAGAAUGGCGGAAGUAAGAGUACUUCUACCUCAGGUACGCUUGUUGUUAAUGUCAUAGACAACAUAUUUCUCACUGAUACAGUUAUUAAUUCUUGGGUAUUUGAUACCGGAUCGGUUGCUCAUAUUUGCAAUUCGAUGCAGGGAAUGAUAAGAAGUAGAAGCGUGAAAGAGGAGAAGUUGAUUUCCGCGUGGGCAAUAAUGCAAGAGUUGCUGCUUUGACCGUCGGGACGAUGCAACUCCACCUCCCGUCAGGAUUUAUUAUGGAGUUGAAUAAUUGUUAUUUUGUUCCUAGUUUAAGUCGAAACAUUUUGUCUCCUUCAUGCUUGAUGAAGGAUGGUUAUUCAUUUGCGAGUGAAAACAAUGGUUGUGUGAUCUCUAAGAAUAAUAUGUUUAUGGCUUUUGCACCCAUUGUGAAUGGAUUGUUUGUUUUAAAUCUUGAUGGUUCACCUGUGUGUAAUGUAAGUGCUAAAAGGCCUCGGCCUAAUGAUUUGAGUCCUACCUACUUGUGGCAUUGUCGUUUGGGUCAUAUAAGUGAAAAGCGCAUGAAGAAGCUCCAUUCUGAUGGACUUCUAACUUCGUUUGAUUUUGAAUCAUACGAGACAUGCGAGGCUUGCUUGCUAGGCAAGAUGACCAAGACGCCUUUCACAGGAUUUCCUGAGAGAGCAGUAAACUUGUUGGAACUCGUACAUAGUGAUGUAUGCGGAUCAAUGAGCACGACGACUAGAGGAGGAUUUCCAAUACUUCAUAACUUUCACUGAUGAUUUUAGUAGAUAUGGCUAUGUCUACUUGAUGAGGCACAAGUCUGAAACCUUUGAAAAGUUCAAGGAAUUUCAGAAUGAAGUUGAAAAUCAGCGUGGCAAGAAAAUUAAGGCCUUACGAUCUGAUCGUGGAGGUGAGUAUUUGAGCCACGAGUUUAACAAUCAUCUAAAGAGUUGCGGAAUUGUUCCACAACUUACGCCGCCUGGAACACCUCAGAGAAACGGUGUGUCCGAGCGACGUAAUCGAACUUUGUUAGGCAUGGUUCGAUCAAUGAUGAGCCAGUCGGACCUACCGUUGUCAUUUUGGGGAUACGCUCUAGAAACAGCAGCUUUCACACUUAAUAGGGUACCAUCUAAAUCCGUAGUUAAGACACCAUAUGAGAUAUGGACUGGAAAGGUUCCUAGUUUGUCUUUUCUAAAGAUUUGGGGAUGUGAAGUGUUUGUCAAGCGACUUCAGUUGGACAAGAUCACACCCAAAUCGGAUAAGUGCAUUUUCGUGGGAUAUCCAAAGGAAACUUUGGGAUAUUAUUUCUACAACCGAUCAGAAGGCAAAGUGUUUGUCGCUCGGAACGGGGUUUUCCUAGAGAAAGAGUUUCUCAAAGGAGAAAAGAGUGGAAAGACAGUGCAUCUUGAAGAAGUUCAAGAUGAGCCGAUCGGGCAAGAAUCAAUGAAUGAUGCUAACGUAGCAGAACAAGUUGAGAUACCCAUGGCAAGAGAAGCACCGCCACAACAACGAAGGUCGGCAAGGCUCCGCGAAAUGCGGGAAAUAUUAUUGUUGGACAAUGAUGAGCCUGCGACAUAUGCAGAAGCAAUGAUGAACCUAGACUCCGAAAAAUGGCAGAGUGCCAUGCAAUCCGAAAUAGAGUCCAUGGGAGACAAUCAAGUUUGGAACUUGGUUGACCCGCCUGAUGGUGUUAAAGCCAUAGAGUGCAAGUGGAUCUAUAAGAAGAAAAAGGACAUGGAUGAAAAUGUUCACAUCUAUAAAGCACGACUUGUCGCAAAAGGUUUUCGAAAAGUUCAAGGAGUUGACUACGACGAGACCUUCUCGCCCGUAGUGAUGCUUAAGUCCAUUCGGAUUAUUCUAGCUAUAGCUGCAUAUUUCGAUUAUGAGAUAUGGCAGAUGGAUGUCAAGACAACUUUCCUGAAUGGAAAUCUAGCUGAGGACGUGUAUAUGAUACAGCCCGAGGGUUUUGUCGAUCCGAAAAAUGCUGGAAAGGUAUGCAAGCUUCAGAGAUCCAUUUAUGGAUUGAAGCAAGCAUCUAGGAGUUGGAAUAUUCGUUUUGAUGAAGUCGUCAAAGGGUUUGACUUCACCAAGAACGAAGAAGAGUCUUGUGUUUACAAGAAGGUUAGUGGGAGCUCUGUAGUAUUUCUAAUCUUAUAUGUGGAUGACAUAUUACUGAUUGGAAAUAACAUUCCUAUGCUUGAGUCCGUAAAGACUUCACUGAAAAAUAGUUUUUCGAUGAAGGACUUAGGGGAAGCGGCAUAUAUUCUGGGCAUUAAGAUCUAUAGAGAUAGAUCGAGAAGGCUUAUAGGUUUGAGCCAAGAUACUUAUAUUGACAAAGUGUUGAAGCGGUUCAGCAUGGAAGAGGCAAAGAAAGGGUUCUUGCCUAUGUCACAUGGCAUACAUCUCAGCAAGACUCAGUGUCCUUCGACUGCUGAUGAGCGGGAUCGCAUGAGUAGAGUGCCAUAUGCCUCGGCUACUGGAUCUAUCAUGUAUGCAAUGAUAAGUACUCGCCCAGAUGUUUCAUAUGAGCUAAGUAUGACAAGCAGACACCAAUCUGAGCCAGGUGAGAGUCACUGGACAGCGGUGAAAAACAUUCUUAAGUACUUGAGAAGGACUAAAGAUAUGUUCCUCGUCUAUGGAGGUCAGGAGGAGCUCGUUGUAACAGGUUACACCGAUGCUAGUUUCCAAACCGACAGAGAUGAUUCAAAGUCACAAUCAGGAUUUGUGUUCACGCUAAAUGGUGGUGCUGUUAGUUGGAAGAGUUCCAAGCAGGAGACGGUGGCCGAUUCUACGACAGAAGCCGAGUACAUCGCGGCUUCGGAAGCCGUGAAGGAAGGUGUUUGGAUAAGGAAUUUCCUCAUUGAGCUUGGUGUGUUCCCGAAUGCGUCCAGCCCAUUGAAUCUCUACUGUGAUAACAAUGGGGCAAUUGCGCAAGCAAAGGAGCCAAGGAACAACCAGAAGAACAAACACGUAAUGCGGCGAUUUGAUCUCAUUCGAGACUUCGUUAACCGGGGUGAGAUCAAGAUAUGCAAAAUACACACGGAUCUGAACAUUUCUAAUCCGUUGACAAAACCACUCCCGCAGGCUAAGCAUGAUGCGCAUGUAAGAGCUAUGGGUAUUAGGUACCUUCUAGAUUGACUCUAGUGCAAGUGGGAGACUGUUGGAGGUAUGCCCUAGAGGCAAUCAUAGAGAUGAUGAUAUUCCAUUUGUAUCCAUGAUUUGUAUAGUGUGUUCAUUGAAUAUCCAUUAAAGGCUACUUGAAUUGAUUUGCAAUUAUGUGAAUUGUAUGUGAAACUCUUUACUUGUAUGGUUAUUCUAAAGUUGUCCCUAGUCAGAGUUCAUGUGAGGAUACACAUGAAUAUUAGACUAGCACAUGUAUUAGUUGAUGACUAUGUUUCACAAGUCAUGGACAUGGAGAUGUUGAACUAAUAAUGUGGACACAUGUGGAGACAUGUGUUAGGACUGACCCAACAUGAGAAGUAGUUCUCUCUUUAUACAACAUAUACGCUUUGUCCUUAGACCUGAGAUUGUCGCAUGUAUUCUGGAUGUGGAUCGACUUACUUAGGGGCUAUCAAACGCUACGCCGUAACAGGGUAGUUAUAAAGGUAGCUUUCGGGUUUGUCAAGAAGCAUGCUAUGAGACAUGGUCAAUCAAGAUGGGAUUUGCCCCUCUCUGAUUGAGAGUGAUAUCUCUGGGCCCCUCGAGUGAUCGGAUCCAAAAAUGCAUGGCCAUGCUACGUACGGUUAAGAGUUAACCUACAAAGGGAUUCCGAAUCACAGGAUCGAGAAAGAGCGGUCGGCUUGAAGCUAGACCAAAUAUCAUGAGGCAAAGGGAAUAGCAUGUAUAUUAUGUUGUGAUGGUUCGUCUGAUAUGAUCUUCGUGUGCGUAUAGGAGUUGGCACGUCUUGCUAGAGGCCGCUACCGACUAUUGGGCCGAGUAGGAGUACUCGGGCCAUGUCUAUACGUAUCCGAACCCAUAGGGUCACACACUUAAGGGGCUGGAAGCCCAAUUCGGAUCUGAUCCGAGUUGGAUUAGGUUUAGGAGUACUAAUGGGCCUCGGAUCCAGAGGCCCAUCAGGAACCUCUAUAAAUAGAGGGGUGGGGGCGCCCUAGGGUUUACACCUUUUUGGCGAAACACACUUGCCGCGCCUCCCACGUCCUCGCCUGUUGCAACUCGCGGAUCUAGCAAUUCGGCUUGCGACGCUUCCUCCCUGCACGUGUGGAUACCUUGGAGGUGUUGCACCUGCAGCACUUGGACGAGCCGCCGACGAGCCACGACGAGCCGACGACGAGCCGCGGCACCGGAGGCGAUCUUGCUGCACGUGGACGAGCUGCUGAGGAGCUGCUGGACGUGAUCGACUACGUACGACUACGUGAUCGUCUUCACUGCAUCGACACAUAUCUACAUCUUCCGCACCAGUAGUGCGUCGAGUGGUAAUCCCGUGAUCCUUAUACGGCAGUUCUUCCUGGUUAUACGCGGUAGAAAUUUUGAUUUGCGCUAGUGUAGCCUACCUCGUAUCCCAACAGUCUGGGGUGUAGCUGGGGCGUCUGUGGGGGAGGGGACGAGAGGAAUCGACGGGAGGCGAGACGUGGCGGUGGAAUUUUGCUCGGCGGCGGUGCUUGACAGAGGAGAAGCUGGCGGCGGUAAAAAGGACGGCGGUGAAACGGCGGCGCGGGAGCGGUAAUUAUACGAACGGUUUACCGUGCGCAUGGCUGCCACCGUGGUCUACCCCUAGGCUUACGUGGUGAGGAGGUGGCCUAGUCGUCGCGAUGGCGAGCUACCGAGAGCGGCGGCGGCGACACGUCGAGCUCGGCUCUGCUGCUCUCCCCUUUUAUGAUUUCUGGCGCCCAAAAUUCAGAGCUUCUCCACGAUGGAUUUCCAAUCCGACGGUGCACCGGUGUCUUAACCGAAGUUGCAGAUAAUCUUGAGUCCUCCAACUUUUAUUUUGGUUUGACCCCGAGAUAAACAUCCAACACAGUGCAAUUUGAAUUCUUUUACUAGCUCCAACUGAAUUUCUACUGAACUUCGAGUUGCAGUUCAUCAGUUCAUGACAGUGUCACUGAUCUUACUUUGUGCUCGAGUUUAGUAAUCCAAUUCUCUUCCUUUAAGUCCAACUUCUUCCUAAACAUGUUCUACAACAUCCCAAAGUUCCAUUUUGCUCAUGAACAAGUAUCCCUUUUGAUCUACAUUGCUCUGAAUUCAAGUCCAAAGUUGAUGUCAUAUUGCUGUUUCAGACUUAACCAAUUUCAGACUUGUCAGUUAACUGUGACAGUGUGCUGACUUUGGGCUACAAUUUGAAAUGGUUCCCUUCCAUGUUCCCGGCCAACAACACCCAAAUCUUGUAGUCCAAAGUUCAUACUUCAAUAUAGUGUAGUUGUUCUGGUGCAUUUAUUUGAAAAAUUCUGCAGAAUUCAAUUUUGAAAACAGACUCUGCUGCUGUUUUGCUGAACUCCUAUUUUCGGACGGUGAAUAGUAAACACCCUUUUCUUUUUCUUUUCUCUGAUUCCUUUGGGAUAAUUAGCACCAUUUUGUUCCAAAUUCUUGAUCCUUAAGUUCUAAACACUCUUACACUUGUAUUCCAUAUUUUUGACAAAUUUUUCUGAAUUUCAAAUUUGAAAUUCAAAUUUCGACCAAAUUUGACCCGAAUUUGAUUUUCGGCUAAUUUCUUUUCCUUUUCUUCUCAAUUUGCUUUUAAUUCUUCAAAGUUAUUUAGAUGACUAGAUUGUCAGCUAUUACAGCCUCUCCCCCUUAACAGAAUCUCGUCCCGAGAUUCUCGGGGUUAAAUCCUCGGUUUUGAGAAUGGAAAGGAAACUGCGUCAGGUCAACUAUUCUUUCUUUUUCUAUACAAGGAUAGUGGGGUGGUGGCUCUUGUUCCUCAGUUCUUGACGGUUUCAAAUAAUUCCGGAUACUUAGACUCUAGGUCUUCAGCUUGUUCCCAAGUAGCUUCAUCCGGAGUAUGGUUUUUCCAUUGCACCUUAUAAAACGUGAUACUCCGAGUUCGGGUAUCUCGUCUCUUUUGAUCCAGAAUUUUAAUGGGUCUUUCUUCAUAGGUUAGAUCGGGCUCGAGUUCAAUUUCUGGAUCUUCUAAAAUUUCUUCUGGAACUCUUAGGCACUUCUUAAGCUGAGAUACAUGAAAUACGUCAUGUAUAGAAGCAAGUUGGUCUGGCAAUGACAGCUUAUAUGCCACUGGACCCUUUCGUUCCAGAAUUUCAUAGGGGCCAAUAUACCUUGGGGCUAACUUACCCUUUACUCCAAAGCGAUGUACGCCUUUCAUUGGGGAUACCUUUAAGUAUACAAAAUCUCCAGCAUAAAAUUCCAAGGACCGUCUUCUUUUGUCCGAAUAACUCUUUUGUCGGGACUGGGCUAUUUCUAAAUUUUUGUGAAUCUUCUGGACUUUUUCCUCGGUUUCCAUAACCAAGUCCGAUCCCAAAUGUGUCCUUUCUCCUACUCCUGACCAAUUUAAAGGAGUUCGGCAUGUUCGACCAUACAAGGCUUCGAAAGGUGCCAUCUUAAUGCUAGAUUGCCUCUAGGGCAUACCUCCAACACGGCUAGGGGCAAACAUUCAUCCCAUAGCUUAGAGAAGGUAAGGACACAUGCUCUCAACAUGUCUUCCAAAAUUUGAUUGACCCUUUCUGUCUGUCCUCCAGUUUGAGGAUGAUAGGCAGAACUUCUAAUUAGAGUAGUACCCAUGUCCUUUUGCAAUCGUUCCCAGAAUCUGGAAACAAACUGGGAACCUCGAUCGGAGAUAAUGGUCUUUGGUACUCCGUGCAAGGAUACGAUCCGGGCUAUAUAGAGCUUGGCAUAUGUCGACACCGGAUAAGUAGUCUUGACUGGAAGGAAGUGAGCCGACUUAGUAAGGCGAUCGACAAUAACCCAGAUGGAAUCAUACCCCUUUGAAGUGGUAGGCAAUCCAACUAUGAAAUCCAUAGAAAUAUCUUCCCAUUUCCAGACAGGGAUUUUUGAAGGUUGUAACAAACCUGCCGACUUUUGUAGUAUGGGUUUAACUCUUUGGCAAGUAUCACAUUCUGCUACAUAUCUUGCAAUUUCAGGUUUCAUCUUGGCCCACCAAAAUCUUUGCUUUAAAUCUUGGUACAUUUUAUUGGUUCCGGGAUAAAUGGAGAACUUGGACAAAUGUGCUUCUUCUAAGAUUAAUCUCCUCAGGUCCUCAUCUUCAGGAACCACUAUCCUGUUCUUGAAGUACAGUCCUCCAUCCUCUUCUUGAUUAAAUUCGGGAAUCUUCCCCUCGACUUUUUGCUGAUAAAGUAUCUUAAUCCAUGGAUCUUCUUUUUGGGCUGUUAUAAUUCUUUCUUUUAAGGUAUCUUGAACCAUAAUAUUCUGAAGUGUGCCUUGUUUAACUAUUUCCAAACUUAAUUCUUCCAUUUCUUCACACAAGGUCUUCAGGUUAGACUGGACGGUAGUGCAGUGGCAUUGGGCCUUUCUGCUCAAGGCGUCGGCCACCACAUUAGCCUUACCAGGAUGAUAAUGGAUUUCUAGUUUAUAAUCUUUAAUCAGUUCCAGCCACCGUCUUUGCCUCAUGUUCAAGUCCAUUUGAGUAAAGAUAUAUUUCAAAAUUUUGUGGUUAGUAAAGAUACGACAUUCACUACCUAAAAGAUAGUGUCACCAUAUCUUUAAUGCAUGCACUACGGCAGCAAGUUCUAAAUCAUGGGUAGGGUAAUGCUCUUCAUGACGCUUCAAUUGACGAGAAGCAUAAGCAAUAACCUUGCCUUCUUGCAUCAGAACACACCCGAUGCCUGUUCCUGAGGCAUCACAGUAUACAUCAAAGGGUUUCUCUAUGUCAGGUUGAGCUAGCACUGGGGCUGUAGUCAGUAAUUUAUUCAAGACUUGGAAUGAUUCCUCACACUCAGGCUUCCAUUCAAAUUUUAUUUCUUUCUUUAAUAAUUCUGUGAUUGGUUUAGAAAUCUUUGAGAAAUUGGGGAUGAAUCUACGGUAAUAGCCAGCCAUUCCCAAGAAACUUCUUACUUCAUGAAUAGAGGUUGGCGAUUUCCAAUCCAGUAUAUCCUUGACCUUUCCGGGAUCUACUUCGAUUCCUUUUUCGGACAGUAUAUGCCCAAGGAAUGGAACUUUCUUUAACCAGAAUUCACACUUACUGAACUUGGCAUACAACUGGUGUUCCCGGAGUCUAUUUAGAACAAUGUGCAGGUGUUGCGCAUGUUCCUCCUCAUUUUUAGAAAAGACAAGGAUAUCGUCUAUAAAGACGACCACAAAUUUAUCUAGCUCCGGCAUGAAUACUGAGUUCAUGAGGUACAUAAAAUGCGCUGGGGCAUUUGUCAGUCCGAAAGACAUAACCAAAUACUCAUAUAGUCCAUAUCGCGUUGAAAAGGCUGUUUUUGGUAUGUCUUCGGGUUUUAUCUUAAUCUGAUGGUACCCUGACCGAAGGUCGAUUUUUGAAAAGACCUUAGCUCCGGACAACUGGUCGAACAACAAGUCAAUCCGUGGCAGCGGAUACUUGUUUUUAAUGGUUACCGCAUUUAAAGGGCGGUAAUCCACACAUAGCCUUAAUGUGCCAUCCUUCUUUUUAACAAAUAGAGCUGGGCAGCCCCAUGGUGAAGUGCUAGGUCGGACGAAACCUUUAUCCAACAGUUCUUGAAGUUGUGUUUUUAACUUUGCUAGCUCUUUAGGUGGCAUUCGAUAUGGUCUUCUAGAGAUAGGAGCGGUGCCUGGUUCUAACUCAAUAGUGAAUUCUACCGCUCUAUCAGGCGGUAGCCCAGGCAAAUCUUCUGGAAAUACAUCUAUAAACUCAUUAACCACAGGAAUAGAUUCUAGAGUCACUGCUCUAGUCUUUUUGACCAUCUGGUCCAAACAAGGAUGAGCGGGUAAUUGGAGCUCGAAAGAGUGGCCUUGAUCAUCUUUCAUGCUAACGACCCGAGUAACCAUAUUAAUUUGAACUUUAUGUUCUUUCAUCCAAUUUACUCCCAAAAUAAGAUCUAUUCCUUGAUCUUCCAGAAUUAAAGGGUAAGCUCCCACCUUAUUUCCUUCUAGGUUUACAAUCACAUUGCGAGCUACUUGAUUUGUAUUCUGUGUGGCCCCAGUAGCUUGAAUAGCAUACUUGACAUUUAAUGUAUGGACCUCUAGUUGAUGUUGUGUAACAAACCUUUUACUUAUAAAAGUAUGCGAUGCGCCUGAAUCAAAUAAGACCAUAGCAGGAUAAUUGUUAACAAGAUACAUACCUGCCAGGAUAGGCUCUCCUUCUGGAAUUUCUUCUACAUUCAUAUAGUGAGCUUGUCCCGUCUUGGUGUUGACGAACUUACGACGGACAAACUUUUGUCCAGUGCCUUGGCCCGAGGUCUGAGCCCUUAAGUUUGCGUUUCCCCCAACUUUGGGAAAACAGCAGUCUCGGGCGAAGUGUCCUGGCUUUCCACAGUUGAAACAAACCUGUGGAGUUCCUGAAGGAGUAGGGUUACGAAACCCGAGAGGUGGUGCAAUUCCAGGACGAGGGGCAGCACUGGGAGCUCUAGCAUUCCAAGACUGGAAAGGCCGUUGCUGAAAUGAAGGGCGAUACAUGGGUCGGGGAGGACCUCGAUAUACCACCUUCAUUCUCUGUGGAGCAUUCCCAAAGUUUCUAGAAGGAACAUUCUUCCUCUUCAAUGCUUCUUCUUUCUUCAAGGUUUCAUCCAAAAUUUUCAUCUUUUCUUCCGCGGUAAUGGCCGUACUUACCGCAGAGCUAUAAUCAGCGAAAGUGCAGGUGGACAACUUUUCCUGCAUUCUUGCAUUGAGCCCUCGAAGGUAGCAAUCCCUCUUUCUGGAUUCAGUGUUGACAUGCUCUGGUGCAUAUUGGGCUAGGUGGUCGAAUUCACUGGUAUAUUCCAGAAUACUGCGAUUUCCUUGUUGCAGUCCUAAGAACUGUUCUAGUUUCAUUCUCAUGAUACCUUCCGGCACGAACUGCGUCCGGAAGGCUUCCUUAAAAUCCUCCCACGUGACUUCCCUACCCACUGGCUGCCUGGCCAGAUGGCUGGUCCACCAAGUUGCUGCGAGGCCUUGAAGCUGAAGCCCUGCAAAUUCGGCCUUCUGAGUGGUAGUACAUUGGGGGAUUACUCGAAACUUUUGUUCCAUGGCUUGAAGCCACUCGUUAGCUUCCAGUGGAUGCUCGGCCUUCAAGAAUACUGGGGGACGGGUUUCCAGAAAUUGGGUGUAGGACACACCCUGCUCCGGAUCUCGCCUACGUCCACCAUUACCAGUGUUCUGUAUGAUCAUUUGGAGUAAUCGGGCUUGUUCUGCCCCGGAGUUCAUAAGACUGGCUAUGGCAUCAGCCAGCGUGGGUGCUCUGGGUAAAUUCUCUUCCUGACCUCCAGAACCUGAAGCUCGUGGUUCUCUGGGAUCCGUCAUGCUACCAAGAGUAAACAGGAUAUUAAUAUCUAAGGUGCAUUUUAUCAACAAUCUUCUGCACAUUAUUAGGUCACACAUCACAGUAUGCUCACAUACAAACCAUACUUAUACACAUACUUAUUUAUAAUACAUGCCCUGGAGUUACUUUUUACAAACACCCUCCGUACCACUUGUCCAACACGCAUAUCUUACAAAAAUAUAUUACAACAUUUUUCAGACAAAGUUCAUCUUUAACCAUCAUAAGGGAAAAUGCCUAGUUCUUCGGCAUUUAGGCCCAGUCGAGCCAUUGCUUCCUGCAGGAUGUCUUGGUCUACGGUCAUUAACGUUUGUCAUGGGGGAGCGACGAGUGGGGCUUGAUUGACGGAAUUUUCACUCCCGGACUCCGGCCCGAAGUCACUCCAAGUGCGGGAAGGAUCAGAGGCAGAGGUGCUAACUCCAGAGUUUCCUUCCAUUUCUUCAGGAUCCUCUUCUUCUUCUCCACCUUCUGGUUCUUCUUCUCCCCAUUGCUGCAGGGGUCCAUAGCCCUGAGGAUCUAGUCCAUCAGCAUUGGCAUUGGCCCAAGUGAACUGUUGAUUUCCCGCAGGGACUUCACCCUGGUCGUCCUCCAUGUCCACAUCAAACCCCUCAAGAUUCUCAUGAGCAUAUAGAUCUAUCUCAGGAUCUGCUGGUGGCAUCGGAUCUUCUUCCACUUGUAUCAUAGGUACUAGUUGAUCCGCUUCCUCCGGGUUCGGUGGCUGAGGCUCUUCUAGUGGUGGAGGUGGUGGGACAUUGACAAUAUUUUGUGCAGGUGCCUGAGCCUUCAUUUCUUCCAAGGCUAGAUGAAGUGACAGGAUCUCGUCUAGCUGUUGGAACCUUUCCGCCUCCAGCCUAUGGACAUUUGAUUCAGCUUCCUCCCUUGCUCUAUCCGCCAUGCUCCUGCUGGCUUCAAUGAACCCUUGCAUCACUCUGAGUUUUUCUUCGUAAUCCUCAAUUCUUCUGGAUUGCUCUCGCAUUGCUUUUCCAUAUCAUGCUCUCUUGCCAUCGCCGCCUUCUUGUACAUUUCCUGGUCAUAUCGGGCACCCAUCAAUUCCAUCUUAGCAUCUUCGUUCUUCUACCUCUGGUUAUAAUAUUCUCUGAUGCAGGCUUGAUGCAAGUUGUACAUUGUUGUCAUAUAAUCAGAAGCAGCAGCAACCAAAACAUCGUGCUCUACUCGGGAAGUGUUCUUCAAGGCUUUAAUCCUCCUCCUCCAUACCCCGUCAUCUUGAUGUUUGAUCGGAUAGAAUCGAGCGGAGCUCGACCCUACCUCCACCUUGUGGUUUCACAUAGUUCAGUAAGAGCAGUCAUGGCCGCCCUUUCUAUGGUGUCAUUAAAUUCAAAACCCAACUCCAUCACCUCCUCCAGACGCCAAUUAGGACGGGUGUCAUCAUCCGGAAUGUGUACAUACACCGUGCAAUAUUGCUAUUGGCCAGUAUCUUCUUUUCGCCAAUAGUACUCUGGGGGAUUGUGAAAGCCCAAUUCUUGUAACGUCUUCCAAAGCAACUGCAUGAAUCCCGGUUUAUCCAAGUAACAACCGUGGGUCCACCCAUCCUUAUCCGUGUAGCCUUCUUCAAACAUCCUAUAAAAGAAAUGGGGUCAUGUCUAACGGCACUCACCAAACCCAAAAGUUUUAAAAUAUGCAAUGCAAACAUGAUGCAACGAUUCCUACGUACUUUCAGACUCAUAUACACACUCGUAGGAAAAUUGGUGGCAUCGUAAUCUCUCCCUAAGUAAUAAACUACCGAAUACUAGCGACACGCAGCAAACAGUUAGCAUCUGCAAAACAAACAAACAGUUAACACUACUGCCACCUGUGACUCUUGUUUUUAUUAUUUUAAAAUAGAGUCUUAGUUUUUAAAAGGUAAUAUCUGUUGAUUAUCCCAACCUACGGCUCUGAUACCACCUAUGGCGGAACCGCCCAACUUAAGCUGGUUUAAGUGCGCAUAAUCGCUGUCGGAACAGCAAUUAUCCGAAACGCACCUAAAACAGCAUAAGUCCGGUAGUCCGUCGAGUGUCCCUAGGACUCCUCGAAGGAUCCACGGCGUGUUUCAUAACCAUACAUCAGGAUAAUAUCCGCGAUGGGAUAAUAUCAACAAACAUUACAUUUUUACAUAUAUAUAUAAAAGGUACGAGUUAUUACAGGACAUAAGUUGAAACAAACUUAGUGAUGCAGUGUUAGACAAGCUCUAAGAUUUAAACAUAAAUAGUUCAGGAGAAGAUGCACACGUAGAACUUUUUCUCUAGGGUAUUGUGAGACUCAGGCCAAUACCCUAGGGCUUCGGGGUCUCCUCCUCUGCAGCCUCUUGCGGAGCUUCUGAAAGAUAGCCACAAGGGGGAAAACCCUGAGUACGGGGUACUCAGCAAGUCUUACCCGACUAACCAAUAUAAUAGUUUUCUUUGGAAUGCAUGUCAGCCUUUGGGGUGUGCUUGGUUGACACAAUUUUUGCCGAAAAGCUUACUACGAGUAAAGCCUUAGUUUUAUCUUUUAUUUGGGUUAAGUUAUUACCUAACCAUUCUAAAUGAUAACAGAAGUAAAAGCAACCAUAGCUGUUAAAUCAUACAUCAAUUGAUAACAGGAGAAUACAUAUUGCAUGAAUUGAUACUACGAUGCUCAACAGUGAUCAAGUGCAUUCAUAACCGAGAAUUUCGGCGAUCCGGAUCUAAUUACAUCCUGCAGGAGAGUACCCUGAUCACCAGCGUUAUACGACUGUCCAGGUCGUAUCUAACAACCUCUCGAUUAGCAAACUCAAUGGUUAGGAAUAUGACUACCCGGACCCAGGGAUGCACCCCCACAUGGGACCCCACGUCUGGCCCGAUCACCAUGUGAGUUUCAGGCUACACCCCUGCCAAUCUCCAGCACGUCAAGCGCGGGUACGAAGUAUUCCUGAUCAUAGAGUUUACUAAUUUACUGGGCUUUACUGGUCCCAUACCCAGUAAGUGAUCAGAUGCUUAUCACUUGAUCAAAGGUUAAGACAACGAAUCGGGCCUUAACCAAAUUAAUCUAGCAGACAGAACUACAUCUCUAGCUUCUGUCCGUUUUCACUUUCCAAGUUAUCCUUCAUAAGCAACAUGUAUGACUUAAGAGUUUUCCUUAAGGUUGGUAAACCAAGCAUGUAAGCAAGUAAGCAAUUCUAGACUUGGGUAUCUUCUAAGGUUUGAACAAGUGGCAAAGAUGUCCUUAAAACAAGGCAUGAUCAUACACAAGAAUAGGUUUCAAGCAACUCCUAGACUUAGUGCAUACAUAAAGCAAAUAACCUAUAACUAGUCACAUGAAAUAACGACUCCAAAAUAGAUAGGUAUAAAUGCACCGGGGCUUGCCUUGUUCGCUAAAAAGAUUAGUAGACUCUGACGGGUUGGCUUCACAGGGAACUAACUCAAACACUUCUUCGGACUCCGAAGGUCCUUCUGAAAAUUCCCAAUAUACUCCUUCCGGUGCUUCGGGAUCUAUGGCAUAAUACAUGCAGGGGUUAGAAUGCAACAUUUUGAAUUAAAGACUAUACAAUUUUUCUUCAUGAUAAAGUUGCAAGCCAACAAGGACUAUACAACCUAUCAUGAUAAAGUUGUAAGCCAACACAUAAAAACCCAAAAGAUUAACCCACAAUUUUAUUUUUCUAAUUUAACCCUUCUUAUAGCUUUUUCUUUUAUCUUUAGAAAAAGUUAUAAUUAUUUUCUAACUUGAAAAUCUAAUUUCCUAUGGGUUAAGAAUAAUUUGUGAUUAAGAAAGUGUUAUUCAUAUUUUAUACAUUUUAUAAAUAUUAAGUAUUUAUUUAAUUACCUUAAAAGGAAGGCAUUAAAUAAAUACCCAAAUUUUUAUUAUUUUUCUAGGGUGUAAAAAUUUUAAUGCGUAAAGGAAAAUAAAAAAAGCCUAACAAAAUUGGUUUCACUAAUUUUGGACACUCCUAUAAAUUUCUGUGAUUUAAAUGGUGUAAAACGGAUUUAAACGAAUUAUUUCACUAAAGGAAAUCUAUUUUUUCCCGAAAUCGCCCGGAAAUACUUUUCUCACCCGGCCCUUCUCUACCCUCUCUCACGCGCACUGGGCCCCACGGCGCGGACCCCACCUCUCCUAUUCAUUUCUACCCGCCGGCCCUAUUUUCCCCCUAACGGGCCCCGUGGGCCGAUUCUCCUUUCCUCCUCCUUUCUUUGGCCCAACACCGGCCCAUGGCCCUCCUUCUUUUUCCUUUUUCUUUCGCGACAUCAGCCUGUUAGCUGCUCUGGGCCCUCGGCCUCUUUCCUUUUCCGGCCGACCCGCGCGUACUUCACUGGGCCUCCAGGCCACGGCCCAACAGAUGGCCGCGCCGCUUCCGGCGUCUCUCUCUCUCCCUCUCUUCCCACUGCCGCACGGGCCCAACGCCUGGGUGCUUCUUCCUCCUCCCGCCAAAACGCGCCCGUGACAGGGGGCGGUGCAACCCGCCGGCCGGCGCCCCACCGGCGGCGAAGCUCGGCCAGGACAGCACCCUUACACCUUCACGCACCCGUUCGCAGCGACAGCUCCCCGGGAGAUGGCCGGAGCCAUCCCCUCCACGGCGACGGGCGGCGACACCCUCGGCCUGUGGUGACUACUCACGACAACGGCAUAACCUACUCAAACAUCUACCCCUACACCAUCCUAGGACCCUAAGGACUCGACUACGACUACUCAAGAAGGAAGAGAGGCAACGCGAAGUAGAGCUCACCGUGAGCGGGCGGCGCGACGACGGCGGACAGAAGCGACGGCGAGCACGGUUACUUUGGCAUGGAUGUUGGACAACAACUGGUCUGGGGUGUAGCUGGGGCGUCUGUGGGGGAGUGGACGAGAGGAAUCGACGGGACGCGAGACGUGGCGGUGGAAUUUUGCUCGGCGGCGGCGCUUGACAGAGGAGAAGCUGGCGGUGGUAAAAAGGACGGCGGUGAAACGGCGGCGCAGGAGCGGUAAUUAUAUGAACGGUUUACCAUGCGCAUGGCUGCCACCAUGGUCUACCCCUAGGCUUACGUGGUGAGGAGGUGGCCUAGUCGUCGCGCUGGCGAGCUACCAAGAGCGGCGGCGGCGACACGUCGAGCUCGGCUCUGCUGCUCUCCCCUUUUCUGAUUUCUGGCGCCCAAAAUUCAGAGCUUCUCCACGGUGGAUUUCCAAUCUGACGGUGCACCGGUGUCUUAACCGAAGUUGCAGAUAAUCUUGAGUCCUCCAACUUUUAUUUUGGUUUGACCCCGAGAUAAACAUCCAACACAGUGCAAUUUGAAUUCUUUUACCAGCUCCAACUGAAUUUCUACUGAACUUCGAGUUUCAGUUCAUCAGUUCAUGACAGUGUCACUGAUCUUACUUUGUGCUCGAGUUUAGUAAUCCAAUUCUCUUCCUUUAAGUCCAACUUCUUCCCAAACUUGUUCUACAACAUCCCAAAGUUCCAUUUUGCUCAUGAACAAGUACCCCUUUUGAUCUACAUUGCUCUGAAUUCAAGUCCAAAGUUGAUGUCAUAUUGCUGUUUCAGACUUAACCAAUUUCAGACUUGUCAGUUAACUGUGACAGUGUGCUGACUUUGGGCUACAAUUUGAAAUGGUUCCCUUCCAUGUUCCCGGCCAACAACACCCAAAUCUUGUAGUCCAAAGUUCAUACUUCAAUAUAGUGUAGUUGUCCUGGUGCAUUUAUUUGAAAUAUUCUGCAGAAUUCAAUUUUGAAAACAGACUCUGCUGCUGUUUUGCUGAACUCCUAUUUUCGGAUGGUGAACAGUAAACACCCUUUUCCUUUUCUUUUCUCUGAUUCCUUUGGGAUAAUUAGCACCAUUUUGUUCCAAAUUCUUGAUCCUUAAGUUCUAAACACUCUUACACUUGUAUUCCAUAUUUUUGACAAAUUUUUCUGAAUUUCAAAUUUGAAAUUCAAAUUUCGACCAAAUUUGACCGGAAUUUGAUUUUCGGCCAAUUUCUUUUCCUUUUCUUCUCAAUUUGCUUUUAAUUCUUCAAAGUUAUUUAGAUGACUAGAUUGGCAGCUUUUACACCUAGGAUGAGGAAUAUUGGUAUGAUUUCUGAUAUUCCAGGGCUGAAAUGGCCUCUGCUCAAAGGAAGGCCGAUAAGCGGGUCGAGGAGGACCUCGGUAUACUACCUUCAUCCUCUGCAGGGUAUUCCCGAAAGUUCCAAAAGAAAUAUUCUUUCUCUUCAAAGAUUCUUCUUUCUUCAAAGUUUCAUCUAAAAUUCUCAUUUUCUCUUCUACAGUAAUAGCUGUGCUUACCGCAGAACUAUAAUCAGCAAAGGUGCAGGUAAACAACAUCUCCUGCAUUCGUGCAUUGAGCCCGCGAAGAUAACAGUCCCUCUUUCUGGACUCCGUGUUAACAUGUUCUGGGGCAUACUAGGCCAAGUGAUCAAAUUCAUUUGUGUAGUCCAGAAUACUACGAUUCCCUUGCUGUAGCCCUAGAAAUUGCUCCAGCUUCAUUCGCAUAAUCCCUUCCGAUACAAACUGCGUUCAGAAAGCUUCCUUGAAAUUUUCCCAAGUAACCUCCCUUUCGACAGGUUGCCUUGCCAAAUAACUUGUCCACCAGGUCCCAGCAGGACCCUAGAGUUGGAGCCCGGCAAACUCCACCUUCUGGGUGGGGGUGCAUUGUGGAAUUACUCAAAAUUUCUGCUCCAUUGUCUGAAGCCAUUCAUUGACCUCUAGUGGGUGCUCGGCCUUUAGAAAUAUUGGAGGACGAGUUUCCAGAAAUUGGGUGUAAGAUACACCACGUUUUGGGUCCCCUCUGUUCCCACCAUUUCCAGUGUUUUGCACAAUCAUCUAAAGAAGUCGGGCUUGUUCAGCUCCUGAAUUCAUGAGGCUGGCUAUGGCAUUAGCCAGCGUUGGGGCUCUGGGUAAGUUUUCCUCGUGGCCCCCUGACCCCGAAGCCCGAGGACCUCUCGGAUCCGUCAUUCUGCUGAAAUCAAACAGAGUAUUAAUGUCUAAGCCAUAGUUUGUCAGUAGUUCCAUGAGCAUGCUCGUUUUUCACACAUAACAUCACAAUUAUUGUAGUUACACACAAACCACACUUAUAUACAUCAUUAUUUAUAUUACAAGAACUGGAGUUUAAUUUCUACAAAGCAACCCCACUACUCCGUCUCUCUGCUUCUAUCUUACAUAAAUACACUACAGUAUUCCUUGAUCAUGAUCUUCUCUCAACCAUCAUAGGGAUAAAUGCCCAAUUCUUCAGCAUUUAUUCCUAGUCGGGCCAUCGUAGCCUGCAGAACAUCCUGAUCCACUGUCAUCAGUGUUUGUCCUGGAGGAGCGACAAGUGGAGGCUGAUUCACUGAAUUCUCGCUUUCUGACUCUGGUCCGGGGUCACUUGAGGUGUAGGAGGUGUAUGAUGCGGAGGUGCUGACACCAUAAUUUCCUUCCAUUUCUUCUGGAUCUUCUUCUUCUUCCUCGCCUUCCUGCUCGGCUUCACCCCACUGUUGUAUAGGUCCAUAGCCUUGUGGAUCUAACCCAUCUGCAUUUGCAUCGGCCCAGGCAAAGUGAUGGUUUUCCAUUGGAGCUUCACCCAGAUUAUCUUCCAUGUCGAUAUCGAAACCUUCUAAAUUCUCAUGGGCUCGAUCUCAGGAGCUGCAGGUGGAGCCACAUUACCCUCAACACCUACAAUAUCCACCAAUUGAUCUGCUUCUUCGGGGACCAGUGGCUGUGGUUCUUCUGGUGGUGGAGGCGGUGGAACGUUUACUAUGUUCUGAGCAGGUACCUGAGCCUGCAUUUCUUCUAAGGCCAGACAAAGAGAUAAUAUUUCGUCCAGCUGCUGAAAUCUCUCCACCUCGAGCCUAUUAACAUUGGAUUCAACCUCUUCCUUUGCCCUUUCUGCCGUGUUUCUACUGGCAUCCAUGAAUUCCUUCAUUGUCCUGAGCUUUUCUUCAUAUUCAUCUAUCCUCCUGGACUGCUCUCUCAUAAUCUUUUCCAUGUCAUGUUCCCUAGCCAGUGCUGCUUUCUUGUACAAUUCCUUAUCAUGUCUGGCACCCAUUACCUCCAUCUUGACAUUCUCAUUUCUCUUUCUAUGAUUGUAAUAUUCCCUCAUGCAGGAUUGGUGCAGGUUAUACAUAGCAGUCAUAUAGUCGGAGGCAGCAGCAACCAGAAUGUCAUGCUCCACGCGAGAGGAAUUCUUCAAUGCUUUGAUCCUCCUUUUCCAAAUACCAUCAUCUUGAUGCUUUAUGGGAUAGAAUCGAGCAGAGCUCGACCCUAUUUCCACUUUAUGUUUCUCGCAUAGGUCCGUGAGGGCGGUCAUAGCUGCCCUUUCAAUUGUAUCAUUGAACUCGAAACCCUGCUCCAUAAUUUCAUCAAGACGCCAAUUAGGGUUUGUGUCUUCAUCUGGGAUAUGGACAUAAACAGUAUAACACUACUUAUGACAGGUGUCCUCCUUCCUCCAAUAAUACUCCGGAGGGUUAUGAAAGCCUAGCUCCUGCAGCAUCUUCCAUAACAACUGUACAAACCCUGGCUUGUCCAGGUAAUGUCCCCAGGUCCAUCCGUCCUGAUCUGUAUAUCCUUCUUAGAACAUCCUAUAAAAGAAAUGGGGUUAGGUCUAACGACACUCACAAAACCCAAAAGUUUUUAGAACAUGCUUAUGCAACAUGAUGCAACGAUUCCUACGUAUUCACAGACUCAUAUACACACUCGUAGAAAAAUUGGUGGCAUCGUAAUCUCUCCCUAAUAAUAUACUAUCGAAUACUAGUGACAAUGCAGCAAACAGUUAGCAUCUGCAAAACAAACAACCAGUUAACACUACUGCCACCUAUGACUCACAUUUUCUUUGUUUCAAAGUAGAGUCUCAGUUUUUAAACAGUAAUAUCUGUUGAUUAUCCCAACCUAUUACUUUGAUAUCAGUUGUGGCGGAACCGCCCAACUUAAAAUUGUUUAACUGUGCCUAAUCGCUGUUAGAACAUCAUUUAUCCAAAACGCACUUAAAACAGUAUAAGUCCGGUAGUCCGUCGAGUGUCCCUAGGACUCCUCGAACGAUCCACAUCACGUCUCAUAGCCAUACACCAGGAUUACUUCCACGAUGGGAAAGCAUCAACAAAUAUUACAUUUUUACAUACAUACAUGAGGUACGAGUUAUUACAGAACGUAGUUUGAAAUAAACUUAACAGUGCAGGUCAGAGAGAUUCUAGGAGUUUAAAACAUAAACUGGUCCAGGUGAGAGAUGAGCAUUUAAGUUUUCUUCUGAGGGUAUUGCGAGACUCGUAACAAUACCCUAGUUUUUCGGGGCCUCCUCCUCUGCGGACUCCUGCGGUGCUUCUGAAAAUAGCCACAAGGGAUAACCCUGAGUACGUGGUACUUGUUGGGAUACGAGGUAGGCUACACUAGCGCAAAUCAAAAAUUUCUACCGCGUAAAACCAGGAAGAACUGCCGUAUAAGGAUCAUGGGAUUACCACUCGACACACUACUGGUGCGGAAGAUGUAGAUUUGCGUCGAUGCAGUGAAGACGAUCAACGUAGUCGUACGUAGUCGAUCACGUCAACGUCCAGCAGCUCCUCAGCAGCUCGUCCACGUGCAGCAAGAUCACCCUCGUGCCGCGAAUCACCCUCGUGCCGCGACUCGUCGUGGCUUGUCCAAGUGCUGCAGGCGCAACACCUCCAAGGUAUCCACACGUGCAGGGAGGAAGCGUCACAAGCCGGAUUGCUAGAUCCGCGAGUUGCAACAGGUGAGGGUGUGGGAGGCGCGGCAGAUAUGUUUCACCAAAAAGGUGUGAACCCUAGGGCGCCCCCACCCCUUUAUUUAUAGAGGUUCCUAACGGGCCUCUGGGUCCAAGGCCCAUUAGUACUUCUAAACCUAAUCUAACUCGGAUCAGAUCCGAAUUGGGCUUCCAGCCCCUUAAGUGUGUGACCCUAUGGGUUCGGAUACGUAUAGACAUGGCCCGAGUACUCCUACUCGGCCCAAUAGUCGGUAGCGGCCUCUAGCAAGACGUGCCAACUCCUAUACGCACACGAAGACCAUAUCAGACGAACCAUCACAACAUAAUAUACAUGCUAUUCCCUUUGCCUCACGAUAUUUGGUCUAGCUUCAAGCCGACCGCUCUUUCUCGAUCCUGUGAUUCGGAAUCCCUUUGUAGGUUAACUCUUAACCUUACGUAGCAUGGCCAUGCAUUUUCGGAUCCGAUCACUCGAGGGGCCCAGAGAUAUCACUCUCAAUCAGAGAGGGGCAAAUCCCAUCUUGAUUGACCAUGUCUCAUAGCAUGCUUCUUGACAAACCCGAAAGCUACCUUUAUAACUACCCUGUUACGGCAUAGCAUUUGAUAGCCCCUAAGUAGGUCGAUCCACAUCUUGAAUACAUGCGACAAUCUCAGGUCUAAGGACAAAGCAUAUAUGUUGUUUAAAAAGAGAACUACUUCUCGUGUUGGGUCAGUCCUAACACAUGUCUACACAUGUGUCCACAUUAUUAGUUCAACAUCUCCAUGUCCAUGACUUGUGAAACAUAGUCAUCAACUAAUACAUGUGCUAGUCUAAUAUUCAUGUGUGUCCUCACAUGAACUCCGACUAGGGACAACUUUAGAAUAACCACACAAGUAAAGAGUUUCACAUACAAUUCACAUAAUUGCAAAUCAAUUCAAGUAGCCUUUAAGGGAUAUUCAAUGAACACAAUAUACAAAUCAUGGAUACAAAUGGAAUAUCAUCAUCUCUAUGAUUGCCUCUAGGGAAUACCUCCAACAGUCUCCCACUUGCACUAGAGUCGAUCUAGAAGGUACCUAAUACCCAUAGCUCUUACAUGCGCAUCAUGCUUAGCCUGCGGGAGUGGUUUUGUCAACAGAUCAGAAAUGUUCAAAUCCGUGUGUAUUUUGCAUAUCUUGAUCUCACCCCGGUUAACGAAGUCUCGAAUGAGAUGAAAUCGCUGCAUUACGUGAUUGUUCUUCUGGUGGUUCCUUGGCUCCUUUGCUUGCGCAAUUUCCCCAUUGUUAUCACAGUAGAGAUUCAAUGGGCUGGACGCAUUCGGGAACACACCGAGCUCAAUGAGGAAAUUCCUUAUCCAAACACCCUCCUUCGCGGCUUCCGAAGCCGCGAUGUACUCGGCUUCUAUCGUAGAAUCGGCCACCGUCUCCUACUUGGAACUCUUCCAACUAACAGCACCACCAUUUAGCGUGAACACAAAUCCUGAUUGUGACUUUGAAUCAUCUCUGUCAAUUUGGAAACUAGCAUCGGUGUAACCUGUUACAACGAGCUCCUCCUCACCUCCAUAGAUGAGGAACAUAUCUUUAGUCCUUCUCAAGUACUUAAGAAUGUUUUUCACCGCUGUCCAGUGACUCUCACCUGGAUCAGCCUGGUGUCUGCUUGUCAUACUUAGCACAUAUGAAACAUCUGGGCGAGUACUUAUCAUUGCAUACAUGAUAGAUCCAAUAGCCGAGGCAUAUGGCACUCUACUCAUGCGAUCCCGCUCAUCAGCAGUCGAAGGACACUGAGUCUUGCUGAGAUGUAUGCCAUGUGACAUAGGCAAGAACCCUUUCUUUGCCUCUUUCAUGCUGAACCGCUUCAACACUUUGUCAAUGUAAGUAUCUUAGCUUAAACCUAUAAGCCUUCUCGAUCUAUCUCUAUAGAUCUUAAUGCCCAGAAUGUAUGCUGCUUCCCCUAAGUCUUUCAUCAAAAAACUAUUUUUCAGUGAAGUCUUUACGGACUCAAGCAUAGGAAUGUUAUUUCCAAUCAGUAAUAUGUCAUCCAUAUAUAAGAUUAGAAAUACUACAGAGCUCCCACUAACCUUCUUGUAAACACAAGACUCUUCUUCAUUCUUGGUGAAGUCAAACCCUUUGACCACUUCAUCAAAACAAAUGUUCCAACUCCUAGAUGCUUGCUUCAAUCCAUAAAUGGAUCUCUGAAGCUUGCAUACCUUUCCAGCAUUUUUCGGAUCAACAAAACCCUCGGGCUGUAUCAUAUACACGUCCUCAGCUAGGUUUCCAUUCAGGAAAGCUGUCUUGACAUCCAUCUGCCAUAUCUCAUAAUCGAAAUAUGUAGCUAUAGCUAGAAUAAUCCGAAUGGACUAGCAUCACUACGGGCGAGAAGGUAUCGUCGUAGUCAACUCCUUGAACUUGUCGAAAACCUUUUGCGACAAGUCGUGCUUUAUAGAUGUGAACAUUUCCAUCCAUGUCCUUUUUCUUCUUAUAGAUCCACUUGCACUCUAUGGCUUUAACACCAUCAGGCGGGUCAACCAAGUUCCAAACUUGAUUGUCUCCCAUGGACUCUAUUUCGGAUUGCAUGGCACUCUGCCAUUUUUCGGAGUCUGGGUCCAUCAUUGCUUCUGCAUAUGUCGCAGGCUCAUCAUUGUCCAACAAUAAUAUUUCCCGCAUUUCGCGGAGCCUUGCCGACCUUCGUGGUUGUGGCGGUGCUUCUCUUGCCAUGGGUAUCUCAACUUGUUCUGCUACGUUAGCAUCACUCAUUGAUUCUUGCCCGAUCGGCUCAUCUUGAACUUCUUCAAGAUGCACUGUCUUUCCACUCUUUUCUCCUUUGAGAAACUCUUUCUCUAGGAAAACCCCGUUCCGAGCGACAAACACUUUGCCUUCUGAUCGGUUGUAGAAAUAAUAUCCCAAAGUUUCCUUUGGAUAUCCCACGAAAAUGCACUUAUCCGACUUGGGUGUGAUCUUGUCCGACUGAAGUCGCUUGACAAGCACUUCACAUCCCCAAUUCUUUAGAAAAGACAAACUAGGAACCUUUCCAGUCCAUAUCUCAUAUGGUGUCUUAACUACGGAUUUAGAUGGUACCCUAUUAAGUGUGAAAGCUGCUGUUUCUAGAGUGUAUCCCCAAAAUAACAACGGUAGGACCGACGGGCUCAUCAUUGAUCGAACCAUGUCUAACAAAGUUCGAUUACGUCGCUCGGAUACACCGUUUCUCUAAGGUGUUCCAGGCGGCGUAAGUUGUGGAACAAUUCCGCAACUCUUUAGAUGAUUGCUAAACUCGUGGCUCAAAUACUCGCCUCCACGAUCAGAUCGUAAGGCCUUAAUUUUCUUGCCGCGCUGAUUUUCAACUUCAUUCAGAAAUUCCUUGAACUUUUCAAAGGUUUCAGACUUGUGCCUCAUCAAGUAGACAUAGCCAUAUCUACUAAAAUCAUCAGUGAAAGUUAUGAAGUAUUGGAAUCCUCCUCUAGCCGUCGUGCUCAUUGGUCCGCAUACAUCACUAUGUACGAGUUCCAACAAGUCUACUGCUCUCUCAGGAAAUCCUGUGAAAGGCGUCUUAGUCAUCUUGCCUAGCAAGCAAGCCUCACAUGUCUCGUAUCAUUCAAAAUCAAACGAAAUUAGAAGUCCAUCAGAAUGGAGCUUCUUCAUGCGCUUUUCACUUAUAUGAUCCAAAUGACAAUACCACAAGUAGGUAUGACUCAAAUCAUUAGGCCGAGGCCUUUUAGCAUUUACGUUACAAACAGGUGAACCAUCAAGAUUUAAAACAAAUAAUCCAUUCACAAUGGGUGCAAAAGCCAUAAACAUAUUAUUCUUAGAGAUCACACAACCAUUGUUUUCACUCGCAAAUGAAUAGCCAUCCUUCAUCAAGCAUGAAGGAGACAAAAUGUUUCGACUUAAACUAGGAACGAAAUAACAAUUAUUCAACUCCAUAAUAAAUCCUGACGGGAGGUGGAGUUGCAUCGUCCCGACGGUCAACGCAGCAACUCUUGCAUUAUUGCCCACGCGGAAAUCAACUUCUCCUCUUUCCACGCUUCUACUUCUUAUCAUUCCCUGCAUCGAAUUGCAAAUAUGAGCAACCGAUCCGGUAUCAAAUACCCAAGAAUUAAUAAUUGUAUCAGCGAGAAAAAUAUUGUCUAUAACAUUAACAACAAGCGUACCUGAGGUAGAAGUACUCUUACUUCCGCCAUUCUUCAACGAAGCUAGGUACUGCUUGCAGUUUCUCUUCCAGUGACCAAGUUCAUGACAGUAAAAUCACUCUUUGUCUGGAGCAGGUCCAGGUCCAGCUUUAACCUUGGGCAUUGGGUUUGGCUUGGACGUUCCAGCCUUGCCCUUCUUCUUCCAAGAAUUGCCCUUCUUCUUAAAGCUAGGCUUGUUCUGUAUAGCCAUCACAUGGCUGGUACUAGUGCUUUUCUUAAUAUCUACCUCUGCUGUCUUGAGCAUACCACACAGUUCAUUCAGACCCUUCUCUGUCCCAUGCAUAUGGUAGUUCGAGAUGAAGUUCCCAUAGCUAGGUGGAAGAGAUGAAAGAAUGAAGUCAGUGGCCAACUCUUUGCCCAUUGGGAAGCCCAGCUUCUCCAAUCGCUGAGUGUAACCAACCAUCUUGUUUACAUGUGGUCCUACUGCUGCGCCUUCUGCUAGCUUGCACUCCAGAAAGGCUUUGGACACAUUGAACCUUUCAGUCCUAGCCUGUGUCUGGAACAUGUCUUUGAGCGCCACGAUCAUAUCGUGUGCCUCAUGAUUUGUUUUGAACUGCAUCUGCAGCUCGGGUUCCAUGCAAGCAAGCAUAAGGCAGCUUACCUCAAGAUUAGCAUCAAAUGCCUUCUUGUAAGCAGCCUUAACGGUAGCAGAUGCAUCAUCAGCAGGUACUGGUGGUAGUGGGGUGUCUAGAACUUCUUCCUUUUUAUCGGCCCUGAGAACAAUUCUCAGGUUACGGAUCCAAUCCGAGUAGUUUGUUCCAUUCAACUUGUCCUUCUCAAGGACCGAACGCAAAGCAAACGAUGUGGUGGUGUUGCUAGGUGCCAUUUAAUCUACAACAAAAGUAAUGCAAAAUACACUAAGACAAACGUAUCCAUGAUAGAGCAAAUCACAUUAAACUAUUUUAACAGAAUCUACUCCCACUAAAAUCAAUAUCCCUCUAUUGAAACUUAGUGAUUCAGGAUUCACAACUAUCAAGUCUACUAGUGAGCUUUAGCAUCACCGCUAGCAAACAAGGUAGAUCGGUAAGCAACUUUUGCUAAUCAUAUCACAUAUGACUCCUGUUGUUGGGUGACAUCUCCAUGUCUCGGCGCCCAACCUUUAUGCCCCAAGGUCCUUAACCAUUAAGAUAACCUUGUUAAGCAAACCAACCCUUAUGCAUGUAAGUGUCCGACACAAACCCGUCUAGUCAAGGAAAACUAGUGGUACCCUAAUUUCAUAGACCCACCACUAAUUGUACAAGACAUGGGACGGUGCAAGUUUUAGUUGGGAGGGCAUACUAACUUAAACUUUGUGAGGGAUCAUUCUACUUCUAACAUCACAGCAUGCAAAAAGUAAAACAUAAACAGAAUAGCAUUCACACAGUUGUGACACAGUAUGGCCCGUUUUCAUAUGGUGAUCUCCAUCUCCAUAGAACCUGUUCACCAUGGUGAUCUCCAUCUCCAUGUUCCAUGUGCGCCAUCCUCCUGGUGAUGAGUCCUUCAAGAACUAGAACAUGCUAUUACGCCUAAUAGCUAGUAAAGAAGCUAGUAAUGAAGUUUACAUAGUUGCUUGGAUCAUCACAGAUUGGUACGCAGACCAUUAAAUACAUUAAGGUGACAACACAUAUGGCUCCUGCCAUGUUGCCGUACGCGCGACACACACGUCACGAAUGAGUUACACACAUGCAUCACAUACACAAAGGUACAUACAUACAUCCUGCAAAACAGAGUUAAGCGUCCUAACGUUCCAAACUUCGGAGGCCCGAAACUCCAUCUUCCAAGCCAAAUUUGGGAAAUCUAAUUUUGCCAAAAAUGGCAAAGCGGUUGAAUUUCAUGUGUAACUUUUUCUGUAGAUUAAUUUUCAUAUAAAAUUUGCCCCGAUCCGAGAUCGUACCGAAAAGUUACGGCUGAUUUACCGAAGCAUACGCAUACGGCAAAAAUCCCGACCCCGGUAGUAGAUCCCAUCUACUUUUGCACAUCUAAUGCGCCUAGCGUAUGACCCUGGAUUUCGAUUCGACCAAUCAUAUUGAUCUUCGCUCACUGCAACUGGAUUUACGUGUAUCACUUAACUCCGAUGGCGGAAACCGACCAGUAGGAGUAUGUCGUUACACUACCAUUGCAGCAAGAGCACGAAACCAGGACAUAGAUCAAACUGAAAACUCACAUAUCUCCAUAUGCACACUUCCCGAAUCAAAAACUAAACAGCUACGGCUCUUAUACCACUGUUGGUAUACGAGGUAGGCUACACUAGCGCAAAUCAAAAAUUUCUACCGCGUAAAACUAGGAAGAACUGCCGUAUAAGGAUCACGGGAUUACCACUCAACACACUACUGGUGCGGAAGAUGUAGAUUUGCGUCGAUGCAGUGAAGAUGAUCAACGUAGUCGUACGUAGUCGAUCAACAUAGUCGUACGUAGUCGAUCACGUCAACGUCCAGCAGCUCCUCAACAGCUCGUCCACGUGCAGCAAGAUCGCCCUCGUGCCGCGGCUCGUCGUCGGCUCGUCGUGGCUCGUCGGUGGCUCAUCGUGGCUCGUCGGUGGCUCGUCGUGGCUCAUCGGCGGCUCGUCCAAGUGCUGCAGGCGCAACACCUCCAAGGUAUCCACACGUGCAGGGAGGAAGCCGGAUUGCUAGAUCCGCGAGUUGCAACAGGCGAGAGCGUGGGAGGCGUGGCACAUGUGUUUCGCCAACAAGGUUUGAACCCUAGGGCGCCCCCACCCCUCUAUUUAUAGAGGUUCCUAAUGGGCCUCUGGGUCCGAGGCCCAUUAGUACUUCUAAACCUAAUCCAACUCGGAUCAGAUCCGAAUUGGGCUUCCAGCCCCUUAAGUGUGUGACCCUAUGGGUUCGGAUACGUAUAGACAUGGCCCGAGUACUCCUACUUGGCCCAAUAGUCGGUAGUGGCCUCUAGCAAGACUUGUCAACUCCUAUACGCACACGAAGAUCAUAUCAGACGAACCAUCACAACAUAAUAUACAUGCUAUUCCUUUUGCCUCACGAUAUUUGGUCUAGCUUCAAGCCGACCGCUCUUUCUCGAUCCUGUGAUUCGGAAUCCCUUUGUAGGUUAACUCUUAACCGUACGUAGCAUGGCCAUGCAUUUUCGGAUCCGAUCACUCGAGGGGCCCAGAGAUAUCACUCUCAAUCAGAGAGGGGCAAAUCCCAUCUUGAUUGACCAUGUCUCAUUGCAUGCUUCUUGACAAACCCGAAAGCUAACUUUAUAACUACCCUGUUACGGCGUAGCGUUUGAUAGCCCGUAAGUAGGUCGAUCCACAUCUUGAAUACAUGCGACAAUCUCAGGUCUAAGGACAAAGCAUAUAUGUUGUUUAAAAAGAGAACUACUUCUCAUGCUGGGUCAGUCCUAACACAUGUCUCCACAUGUGUCCACAUUGUUAGUUCAACAUCUCCAUGUCCAUGACUUGUGAAACAUAGUCAUCAACUAAUACAUGUGCUAGUCUAAUAUUCAUGUGUGUCCUCACAUGAACUCCGACUAGGGACAACUUUAGAAUAACCACACAAGUAAAGAGUUUCACAUACAAUUCACCUAAUUGCAAAUCAAUUCAAGUAGCCUUUAAGGGAUAUUCAAUGAACACAAUAUACAAAUUAUGGAUACAAAUGGAAUAUCAUCUCUAUGAUUUCCUCUAGGGCAUACCUCCAACAGUACUCAGUAAGGCUUACCCGACUAACCAAUAUAAUAGUUUUUCUAGAACUAUAUGAUAGCUUUUUGGUGUACUCGCUGACACACUUUUUGCCAAAAGAGUUUACUAAAAGUGAGACCUUAGCUUUAUCUUUUAUUCCAAUUAAGUCAUUACCUAACCAUUCUAAAUGAUGACAAAAGAAUAAUUUGCAAGCAGCAAGAUAUUUAAGUCAUACACCAAGUUAUUAUUGGAAAGACAUUGCAUUUAUGAAAUUAUACUAUGAUGCUCAACAGUGAUCAAGUGCAUUCAUAACCGAGUAUUGCGACGAUCCGGAUCAAUUUACAUCCUGCAGGAGAGUACCUUGAUCACCAGCUAUGUACGACUGUCCAGGUCGUAAGUAACGAACUUUCGAUUAGCAAACCCAAGGAUUGGGAAUAAGACUACCCGGACCCAGGGACGCACCCCCACAUGGGACCCCACGUUUGGCCUGAUCUCCAUGUGAGUUUCAGGCUACGCCCCUACCAAUCUCCAGCACGUCAAGCACGGGUACAAAGUAUUCCCAAUCAGAGAGUCUACUAACCUACCGGGCUUUACUGGUCCCAUACCCAGUAAGUAAUCAGGUGUCAUUCACUUGAUCAAAGGUUAAGACAACGAUCAGGCCUUAACCAGAUUAAACUAGAAGACAGAACUAUCAUCUCUAGCUUCUGCCUGCUUUCAACUCCCAAGCUACCUUUCCAUACUUAGCAUGUAUGACUCAACGUUUCACCUUAAGGUUUGGUAAACAAGUUACAUUAAGCAACUAAGCAUUUCUAAACUUGAGUUACUUACUAAUUGUUUGAACAAGUAGCAAAGAUGUCCUUAAAACAAGGUAUGAUAAUGCACAAGAAUGGGUUUCAAUCAAUUCCUAGACUUAGUGCAUUAAUAUAGAAAUUAACCAAUAAUUGGACACAUGAGAUAAUAAUUCCAAAGUAGAUAGGUAUAAAUGCACCGGGGCUUGCCUUGUUCUAUAAAAAUAUUAGCACUGUCCGACGGAUUGGCUUUGUAGGGGAUCGAUUCAAUGAUCUCUUCAAACUCCGGAGAUCCUUCUGAUAAUUCCAAGAAAUCCUCUUCCGGUGCUUCGGUGUCUAUGAUAAAGCAUAUGCAUGGGUUAGUGAUGCAACUUUUUGAAUACAAGACUAUACAACUUUCCUUCAUGAUAAAGUUGGAAGCCAACAAGGGACUACACAAUUUAUCAUGAUGAAGUUGCAAGCCAACACACAAAAAAACCCCAAAAAGAUUAACCCACCAUUUUUAUUUUCUUUACCUUACCUUAGGCUUUUUCUUUUGUUUUUAGAAAAUAUUAUAAUUAUUUUCUAGCCUCAAAAUCUAAGUUCCUAUGGGUUAAUAAUAAUUUCUGAUUAUGAAAACAUUAUUCCAUAUUUAUGUAUUAAUAAAGGUUAAGUAUUUAUUUAAAUACCUUAAUGAAAAGGCAUUAAACAAAUACCUAAAUUUUAUUAUUUUUCCUAGGGUAUAAAAUUUUUUAAUGCAUAAAGGAAAAUAAAACAAUCCUAACAAAAUUGGUGUUACUAAUUUUGGACACCCCUAGAAAUUUCUGUGAUUUAAAUGGUGAUAUAUGAAUUUAAUCUAUUAAUCUUACAAAAGAAAAUCUAUAUUCUUUCCCAAAAACCCCCGGCCUACUUUUCUUACUCACCGCCUUCCUACCCCCUGUCUCUUACACUGGGCCCGUGGCUCGAACCCACCUCCUUCCCUGUUCCUUCUACCCGCCGGCCCUUUUCUCCUCUGCCGGGCUCACUGGGCCGAUUCCCUUUCUCCUCCUCUUUCCUUAAUCUGGUACCGGCCCAACGGCCCACUGCUCUUUCCCUCUCCUUCCUCUAGCGCCCGGCCUGCUAACCCGUCCGUUGGCCUGCUGGACCCCCGGCCCAACACACCCUCACGGCACCCCGGAUCGGAGCUUGGGCCUCUAGGACUACGGCCCACCAUGCUUUCAUUGCGCCCCGGCAGGCCUCUUCUAAGCUUCCCGCCCCCUUUUCUCCGACUGACACGCGGGCCCGCUGUCGCCAGCGUCUUCUUCCUUCUCGCGCCAAAACCCGAGCGCGGUAGGGGGCGGCGCGGCUCGCCGGCCGGCGCCCCACCGGCGACGGGGCUAGGCCAGGAAAGCAUCCCCAUACCAAAGUGCACCCGUGCGCGGCGGCAGCUCCCCGGGAGGUGGCCGGAGCUCCCCUCUCCACGGCGGCGGGCGUCGGAGCUGACUGCCGACCGUGACCAAGCAUGACGACGGCGCAACCCACACCUCCGACUACCCCUACAGCUUCCUAGAACCCCAGACACUUACCUACGGCUUACCGCAAAGAAGGACUGCGACGGAAAAGAGAUGCUCACCGUGAGCAGGGGGGUCUUGCGGCGGCGGACGAAAACGCCGGCGGUCACGGGCGCACUGGCGGAGAAGCUGGACAACAAGCUGACCGGGUUGUUGCUAGGGUGUGAGUGGAGGUGUGGACGGAAGGAAUCGACAGGAGAUGCAUUGUGGUGGUGGAAUUUUUUGGUCGGCGGCGGUGGUUUGACAGAGAGGGAUGGUGGCAGUAGAAAGACAGGCGGUAAGGAGCGGUGGCGGGAACGGUAGAUAUACGAAGUUUCACUGUGCGCAUGGACGACACCGUGGCCUAUCCAUAGACUUGCGUGGUGAAGUCGUGGCCCUAAGCGUCGAGCUGGACAGCGAGCAAGGGCGCCGGCGGCGACACGUCUCACCCUCUCUGAUUUCCUUUCCCCCUUUUCUUUCUUUCAUCAGAAUGUUCAGACUUUUCCCGUGGCCGAUUUUCAAUCCGACGGUCCACAAACCUCUGAAGCAAAGUUAGAGAUAAUCUCAAGCUCUUCAAUUUUUAUUUUGGCUCUUGCUCGAGAUAAUCGUCCAAACGUGGUCAAUUUUGAAUUUCUUUCUCAGUUCCACUGAAAUGCCCUGAAACUUGAAUUCAGUUCGACAGUCACCAUAUAUGGCCAUUUACCCUUCUGUUAAUUCACUUCCAGUGGCCCAAACUCAUUCUUUUUAGUCCAUCUACUAUCCAUUCGUGCUCUACAAUCAUCAGGGAUUCCAUUUUGCUCAUAAACUCCCAUACCUUUUGCACUAUAUUUUGCUAAAUCUUGCUCCAAACUCAGGCAUUUGCUGCUGUUUCAGACUUAGACAAAAAUUCAGUUCAGCAGCUAAGUUGACCGUGGUAAAGUGCUGACUUUGAGCCUCAAUUUGAAAUUAGUCCCUCUACUGUUCUUGACCAACAACACCCUAAUAUACUUGUCCAAAGUUCAUACUUCAUUGCUGUGUAGUUUCUUUGGUCCACUUAUUUGAAAAAUGUGGCAGAAAUUAAUUUCCAAAAUGGAUACUUAUACUGUUUUUCAGAAAUUCUAUUUUCGGACAAUGAACACUACACUGUUGUUUUGAUUUUUCCAUUGUCUUUCUUGAGAUGUUUAGGGCUCGGUUUAGUCUCCAAUCUUGAUCCCCAAAGUUCUAAACACUCUUAAGCUUCCAUUCCAUAUUUUUGCCCAAUUUUUCUGAAUUUAGAAUUCAAAAUUCAAAUUUCGGUCAAAUUUGACUUGAAUUUGACUUUUAGUCAAUUUCUUCUCUUUUUCUCCAUAGUUCACCUUUAAUUUUUCUUAAUCACCUUUUAUGAUUGAAACACCAGGUGUUACAGCCACCCACCCCCCUUUAAAUUUUUUCCGUAUCACGCACUUCGCCCAAACAAAAGGGCUCGCCCGAAUGAAAGGGCAUCCCGUCCUCUAACUCACCCUGAAAAUAACUUACGUUCUAGCUUGUGGACCAAUCAGACCCCGCCACAACUAUGGUUUCGAGCAGCUAAGCGUCGCGGGCCACGCCCGGGUUCUUAAGGUUGCAGCCUACGUCAACGGGCAGGUCAGAAAGGGAAAGGGCGAAAAGAAGAAUUUGCUUAAGGGUGAAAACAAGAAUGGGCAGGACUAGUUCCUAUCAUAAUCACAACCAAACUAAAAAUUGUUCACACGGGGGCUCACGGCCCCCCACAAUUUUAUUUCAUACAUAAAGAAACUAACUACUCCUAUUCUGUUGCUCCCCAUCGGCCGGGUCAGUCGGCGGUGUAGGUGGCUAGGCCAAGGGCUCCCUGGUCGCAGUCGAGUUGGUGCUCGAGUCAGUCGCAGUUGGGACUGCGCCCAACUCCACCACGGUGUGCACCACUGCAUCAGGAUCGAUGACGCCCUCCUGGCUCACACGUGCGGCUAUCAACGAGCGGCGAGCGUCCAUGACCCACAUUGCGGUGACAUGCUCGGCAAUCUUCUACGCGCCCGGGGCCAAGCUCUGGCCCAGUGCUCGAAUCUCCUCGAAGCUCAAGCCAUCAGUGUACCCACUACAAAUCACCUUGAAGUCCAGCUCGGGGUAGUGGGUCACCACCAACGUCAGCACCGUGAUGCCCCGUGGAACACUCCAUCGGUGAUGAGCGUUUGGACCAUGUCCGAGACCAUCGCAAAUUGGAUGGUGGGUACACUGGUACUCAGGCCUGACCCCAGUACCUCAGUGACCACCACCUGCACCACGUUGCGGAGUUGGUUGAGCUCAUCCGCAACGGUGGACUGCUCCCUUAGGGACUGGGCUAACACCUCUGCAUUACGACUGACUGUCGCCUCCAGGACUGCAUAAGAGACCAAGUCAGCAGAAGGCAAAAAAAUGGCACGACCCCAGCCUAAACUCCCGAGAUGACGAGACUUACUCUCAUUCACAGUGACGGCCGCGAUGCGGUCAUCCUUCGACCGCUGCAGCUCCUGAUGUAGAAGGGUAUUCAUCUCACCCAGCUCUUGGCCGGCGCUUACAAGGAUAGCUUGACCCUCUUCCAGCUAGUUCACCCUCUCCUAUAGCCGAGAGGAUUCCUGCUCCGAUGACAAAGCCAUCUGCUCGGCAUGCACUUGGGCCCUCUGCGUAUCCAAUCCAUGUGCGUGGGAGGCGGCGCGAUGGUCAUCAGAGCUCGCGAUAGUUUGCUACAAAAGGAAGGUAAGGCAAAAGAUUAGCCACGCUAAAGGACUCGAUCGCAUGAGCAAGGGAAGCUAUGAUUAUGUACGUGAUCAGGGGAACCAUGAAGACCACCGGGCCAGAGCUGCCCGGGGCCUGCCACCCACACUCCUUCAGGAUGACCGAAGGUGGGGGCACCCCGACCGAGCCACGGUCGACCUGUAGAUAGCUGCGGCCACCAGUUCACAGCAGAUCCACCAUAGCGGCUGAUGAAGCAUCCCUCCGGCAAGUACAAGGCGUCUCCACUGACUCCCCAGUCGCGGGCGUAUGACCGCGUCCCUCCAACUGGCCGCCGCACACCAUAACGAUCCGAGCUGGGGGCUGUGACACCAACAAUACCUUCGGACGGUGCGGCAAUGAUCGUGCCCACUUCUCCUCCCGCUCGCGGGCGAUGUCCCUACUCGCAACACACUUCCUCAACUCAGGGGCACUGGAAGGUUCCCCCACACCAUGCACUCCACCAGAGGGCGCGACCAUGGGCUCGCGGCGCCAAGUCGCAAUUGUGACAGCAUUCCCGCAAGUCUCGCUCCCUGUAGAGUCUGAUUCAUCUCCCAACCCCGACCCCAAGGGGUCCAAAGGCCUAAGCUCCGCCUCCACCGUCGUCGGGCUGUCACCGCGACGAACCCGCCGGCUGAUUUCUCAUGCCUCUAGGCCUUCUCAGCCCUCUUCUUCUGCUCGUCCGCCACCUUCUUCUCGACAGCCUAUCGAGCCGCACCCUCUGGUCCCUACGGGAGGCUCGGUCAGGACUUGUAGCGCUCAAGUCCCUGCAAGACAAAUUGACUCAAUGUCAGCUGGAAAAUUUGGAUAAAGAAGAAAGAGGACACAAGGGGAGAAACAUACCAAGUCGGGCCGCCUCCUAGCUUGGAAAGGCUCGGGUGUCCCCUGAGGGUCUCAUCGCUCUACAAUUGCAGCACUUGACCGAGGCACCCCCAAAUCUCGCUCUCAGGCAACUCCGUUGAUGAUGCGCGUUCUGGAUCCGAUGGGCCAGAAUACUACCACAUCGUCCGAGUCCUCAGCCCUAGCUAAGUGAGCCGCCAGUGGACAAAAGUGUCGAAGACCCGCAGUCCAUUGAGGCCCUCAUACACACACUAUUGCAGUGCUGGUUCGAGGACCUCCAUGUGACUCUCAUGCUUCCAAGUAGGUCCCCAUGCCCAGCUCUCCAGCCUCGUCAACCUCCCUCCGGUGAACUUCAGCAACGGCGCCUCCACCAGGUUCCAGAUAUAGAACCAAUCACCAUGCCAUCCCCGAUUGGAAUCACUAGGGGAGUACAGCGGGUAAACGACCUUAGGCUUCCGCUGCAGCGCGAAUCCACUGAUCGGGGCUAGAAGGCCCGCUUUCCCCUUUUUCUCCGACCAGGGAUGCCCGGCGAAGAACUUCGCGAAGAAGUCCACAUGCGGCUCCAUCCCAAGGAAGGCCUCACAGAUGUGCAGCACUCCAUUGGGGUUGAGAUGCUACAACUCCAGUCCCCAGCGGUGAAGAAGCCCACACAAGAACCAGUGCGUGGGGUAUCUGAGCCCGCGCUCGUGGAAGGCAAGGAGACGACCUCAUCAGGGUGAGGUUCUGGGACGACAGUCUCUGGCUUCGGUGCUCUCCAACCUGCGACCACCUUCGACGGCAGCAAGCCCCUCCGCGCAAAAUCCUCCAACAAAUCCUCCCGCACGGUGGACUCCCUCUAGAGCGACAUCAUGCAGCGAAUGGUGGCGAACGGUUCUGUAAGGCUCCCUUCUUCUUCUUCUCUCUCUCUCUCUUUGCCCUCUUCUUUCCCGGAACUCACUGCAGCGCGCGAGAAGAUUUAGGCAAAAAGGCGGACGGGAAAGCAACAACGAAUAGAGGGCGACGAAAGGACCAGCCUGAAGACCUCCGCCCCUCCCCUAUUAAAUAGGUAAGGGGGCAUGGAGCCUAGGCGUACAAGAUGCAAGCGGAGGGACGUGCCCCCACGCGAUGGGACGUGACCCAUGUGGGGCCCACCAACUGCCAUGGCAGAGUCACAAACAGUGGGGCACAACCGCACGCAAGCGCCCCUUCGCCUUUCGAGGCAAGGGAGUGAAGGGUCCCAUCGUGAGAACCUCCACUGAACCGAGGCCGGUAGGCACUCAGGCUGGUCAGAUAAGCGAAGGGACCCAACACUAGAGCCUUUCCCGAACCAAGGCUAAUAGGCCACAUAGGUUGGCCAGACAAAUCGGGCAUCCGACGGGAGUCGGUUAGAAAACAGUGGAAUACUAACAUGCAAAUCAUGUCGACCCCAUCAUGAACGAUGGAUACGGAUUCCACUCGGGCGUACUCGCUAAGGGUGCCCUGAGCUGGCCACUCAAACCGUCGAGAUAAGCAACGCUCGCUUAGCCUCCUCCGGUCGUGGAAACUGCGGGGUGGGGUGAUGCCUGAAAGUCCGACCAAGGUAAUAUUACCGACCCCCCAUUUACUUUACCUGCGAACAAGCACUCAUCCAUGUCAUGCAUGCAUGCAUUCAUGCAUCAUACAUUCAUCUCAUAUGUGCUAUCAUUGCAUCUCAAUUGCUUUGCGUCACAUCACAAAGCAAUAGUCGGCUCAUCCAGAAUGACCGGCGAUCGACCAAGGUUCGAAGGCCGGCCCGCGAAGGGCUAGAGGCCGCCUCGUGUCAAACAGAGCCAGGGGAGAAAACGUAUAUGGAGCCCCAAUGGCCUUCGCCCGACCCACUCAGAAGCAGUCCGGACCAUCUCAACCUUCUCGUUCGAUCCUAACCUCGAGACAUGCCCACAGAAUCUCCAUUGAGGGGAGACCAGCGGGCCACCUGAGUCAGUCUCCGAAAUGACUCGGGCAUCUGCCGAGAGGCGGGUUAAGGAGCAGUGGAAGGCCCCAAGUGGGCUAUGCCGACCCCGUUACGAACGACAGACCCGGAUUCCGCUCGAACAUGCCCGUUAGCAAGCUCACCGAGCGCGUCACUCGAGCCAUCGAGGCAAGUGGCGUUAGCUCAGCCCCUCCGAUCAUGGAGACCGAGGACAGGGUAACAGACGAAACUCGACUGAUGGUUACCAAGUCCAACGGGGCUUGGGGACUCGGGCCGCCGUGUCCCAACUCAGGGAUACGACCGAUGACUUAAGUCAUGGUCAAAACAAACACGGGCAAGCACCCCAAUCUUAAGAACCACAUUCUCCUGAGGGAUGGGAACACUGAGGUUCACGGCCCUAGAAAUGAAUACCUAAGUGUUCAGCCUCUGACCGACUCUCCGGUCAGCCGCAAGCUUGGGGCUACACCCACCGGGUGCGCUCGUGCGCACCCGGCGGAAGCUAGACCAACAGUGGAUCCCCUCCCUUGGAGGAAAGUGUCAGCAUCCACUCGACCCACCUCUGGUCAAAAAAACACCCAAGUGUUCAGCCUCCGACCGACUCCUUAGUCAGCCGCAGGCUCGGGGGCUAGACCCACAAGGUCCGCUCGCACGAACCCGGUGGAAUACAGACUAUGAGCAAGUCCUUCCCUCGGAAGCUGGCCACCCUCUACAACUCGGCGUGUCCCUACUGCCUUUUCUAGUCAUCUCAUCGAGAGCUGGGUGCCAGUAUUUACUCGGGGGCUAGAGUGCCCGAACCUACUCGGCUACCAUAUGCAACGCGGCAAACAAAGGGAAACAACACUGGAAAUCUCAACGACAAUCCGCCUCAAUGGUGCGAUGGGCAUAGAACUCACAUGCCAAAGAUAAGCUUUUCAUUGAGAUGAAAACACAAGCCAAAGGCUUUACAAUAUCACUCAAAGCGUGUGAACACGGGAGCCCUAAGGCUUUACAAUAUCACGCAAAGCGUGUGAAUUCAACCUAGGGGCUACCCUACAAGUCGGGAACGAAACAAACAAGAAGAGCGCAAUAAAUAGGAAGCUGCACUCAAAACCUUGCUCACUAUCCCAUCCUCGCCAAUCCUUCCUCCUCCGAGCACGAGGCACCAGAGGCUGAAGAAGAUAAACGAACUCAGGGAGCACAGGAGUGCUACCCCCAAUGUUCUUUGUUCCCUCUGAGACAAUCUAUAUAAAGAAGGAGAGGUGUGGAGGGAGUACGAGAACCGCAUCCCAAACACCUGGGUAAACUGGCUCUCACUGGCUCCCAGCAAGCCGCCAUCGAUGCCUACAUCUCGUGCCUCCUCGGCAUGCACCUUCACUACCGCACCACUGAGUGCAGCAGGCUGGAAGGAUGAGAUGGAGGCCAAAUGACCUCCGACGAUCAGUGGCCCAAGGUACGAGCGCGACAUGGAGGAUAAGGAGGCCAAGUCUCCCCUUCCUCCCGAGGCAGCACCCUCGUCCUAUCAUCCAGCCUCUAAUUGCACGUCGGAGCCAUGUUACGAGAGUUCUUCUCACAUCACGGCUCCCAAACAUGCCGCAGGGGACUGCGAUAAGGAGGUCGAAUACCAUUUACGAGAGAUCUUCUGGCAUCAUGAGGAGCGGCCAAAGCCACCCUUGGCGAAGAGCAAGAGCCUCAAACCUACCAGAUCUAUGACCCUAGCCGUGUCUACAAACCAUGCCAUGGGGACUCCAGAUGCAGAAGCCCCUCUAUUUAUAUCCAGGCGGACCGCCAUGAUCCGGGAAUAGUUACGAUACGCGUCCGUGGGUGCGCGAUAAAACCGCCUGGCAUCGAGGCAGCGGUUCAGCAGCCACACACUAAUGGCGCCUAGCAUUGAGGUGACGGUUCGACUACCGCGCUACAAAAGGCACAAAAGACUAAGGUGAAGGUACCAGGCCACGAGGUAUCUAUACGAUUCCUACGUGGGAUCAUCCUUAUCAUCUCGGAUACACGGCCAGACCCUGCGAUGCGGCCCAUCUGCUCCACAAACAAGACAAAAAUGAAUAACACCCCCAUGUGUGUUCCCCCCAAUGGAACAUUCCAACUGAAAGCCCCUUCACGACUUCAACAAAGUCCCAAAGGGGCUCGGAGGCUCCUGACAGGUCCAUAGACCCGGGGUUCCCAACAGGACUAACUCGUCGCAACACUUGGCCCCAAAAAGGUCUCGACAGUAGCGCGCAUCUGGGCUAGCCUAGCUGCACAAUGCCAAGCCAAAAACAUGACCCGGCCACCAAUCGGCUCUCCGACUGAGAGGCCCGGUCGAAGCCCCGACCCAAAGGGUCCAGCUAGAAGUGGGACCACAAUCCGACCCCGACCGAGUUCUCCCGACUGAGUUCUCCCGACCGGAUAUUCAGAAACAGGAUAACUUUCCAAAAUGAACUUGAUCUACCCUAGAGUGACCCCUCCUUUUCUUUUUAGAAGAUUAAGAGAAAUAAACUUUAUAUAUGUACACAAUCACCAUCAAUCUAGCCCAAGGAUUUAAAUCAUGAAUGCACCUUACUUCACCUAAGAUGAACCCACCUUUCUUUUAGAGUUCAAGUGAAUGAAAUAAUAAUAUAUGUGUACACAAUCACCAUUAAAUCAAACCCAGGGUUUAAAACAUGAAAUCACUUUAUCUCACGAAGAACUCAAGUUUGAAUCUUGACUAGGGAUACGUGUUCGUUGUAAGCUUUACACUUCUGCAAAAAUAUCUACAUUCAUCUUGCAUAUGAAAUCAUGAAACUUGAAUCAUUGCAUUGCAUCUCGUGUAGAAGCGAAUCUCGCCGACGGAACGUACGAACUGCUCCCGACGACCGAGGAGGUACCUGCUGAACUGCAUCAAGUCGAGGCUGAGCAAGAGCCCAGUCAAGCUUCAAACAAGCUCCCUACUAACUAAGAACAGGAAGGCAAGCCCCAAAGCAUAACCCAAAUUUCUAAAUUUAUGCACUACUGAUGUUGAUUAUGUUUGUGCAUUUAAGUUCAUAGGAGUUGAUUGCAAACUUAGUUGCAUGAUCUUAGGUACCUAUGGGUGGACACUAGUAUGAUAGGUCUAGUAGUUGCAAUGCUAAAUAGGGACUCAGUAAAAGUCGAGUGAUUUCCUGUCACUCGCGAGUUAUAGGAGUUGCUUGCUUAUUUGUACUGCAACCAUAAGGAUGACGGAUGGGGUCGGGCUUUGAUUCUGACUCGGUGGAAUUGCCCCGUCUAUCUAGGAAAAGAUACUAAGGUCAAAAUAUGUUUAGAUCUAUGGUCAAGUGUUUGAACGUACUAAUCUCAUACCUAGUAUGGGAUUGGGAAGCCUAGUACUUGAUUGAACUGGGACGUGAGUAGACCGCCCCACUAUCUCUGGAACGGAGUUUUUCAUGGUGCAUCAUGUGGGUACAAAUACAGCCACGGUACGGCGACGUCCGGAACCGUGGGGUAUUGUAUCCAAGGGAUGUGGGCCUGACAUGUGCCUGAGGAUUGAUGGGGACGGCUGACAUGUGUGGUGGACCCAUCAUGGCACGCAAUGUCGUGGGGUUAGGCUCACCUUGCAAGGUUUAAAAACUCGAUUUGAAUCGUCUGCCACUCAUAGUUUGAGACUGCUUGAUCUAUUCUUGGCUAUCUAUACCUAAUAGAAUUAGUUGUUCUUGACUUAUUUCUCUACAUUAUAACGUUCUUGAUAAUGUUUUGAAUCUGCACUAUUGCUAAUAGGAUGACAGUAUUCAGAUUAAUUAGCAUAGUUUGGUAUAAUCACAUUUUUCAAGAAUCUAACACAACAUAGCCAACAUUGAAGUGGGGGAUAAUACCUUCAAGAAUCUAACACAACAUAGCCAACUAUGCCUAUAAAUUGAAGCCUUCUUAUUAACAUUUAAAUUUUAUCAUCUGCUAAUAGGAUAAUACCAUUCAGGUUAUAUAUGAAACACCUGUGUGAUUAUAUUUCCGUGUAUGGUUUUACCUUUAUAUGCAAAACCCAUAGUCAGUGGGAUUCUGGAAUGCCUUCUUAAAAGGAUAUGUUGCAGCAAUUACUGCUCUCCCUUAUGCCAGUGAUGUCCCGCCACCUAAGAAACAAUGUUUCCUUGGAAUUUGAAGUUUAUGGGCCGCUCAUUUGAUGCCACAAAUUAUAUGUAAUGUUCAAGUUUAUUUCGAGUUGUAGAAAUUGAUGACUACAUCUUACUACAGGGUACCCCUGCAAAAAAAAAAAUAGCUCUAACAUUUUCUCUUGGAGCUGGAGAAAAGAGUUCAUAAGCUUCUAACACCGUAACCAAAGUUCAAACAAAUAAAAAUUAUGAAAGAACAUGAGCCGGUAUGUGAUUUUCACUUUUUCAGACAAUCUAUUCUACUCCUAGCCUUAUAAUUAUAAGCAAAUUUUGAUGCCAAUUUUAAUGGUGACUGGCACCAUACUUAUAAGGAAAUUCUAAUUGUUUGAGCAAUAUUUUUGCUUCUAUUUAAAUUAAUAUGUAUAUUUUGUAUCAUCCACAUAUAAAUGCAGGCAAUAUUUUUUGAAGAAAGCACUGAAAUUUGCUUCCAGUUCCGAUGGGAAAGAACAGAAUCAGCCAUGUUUCCUGAUGACGAGAAGAAAAAUGCAUCUCCUGAUCCAAGGGGUUGCAGAAGGACGUAUGGCUUAUGUCGCGGAGGAGGGCGGCGGCGCGCCUCUGGGGGCACGGCGUGGGGGACUUGAGAGAACAAGAGGUUGGGAGAGGAGAGAGCCGGUGGGUGGAGGGAGAGGAUAAGGUUCUGCAGUGGGCCCCUUUAGUUAGUGUAAUAGGGGCACAGAUGCCAUUUUAUGUGACGCCGAUUCCCCUUCCAUCCACGUUAAAAUCUAGCAGAUUCAUGUUCCGUUAAAAUCUAGCAAAUUCGUAACGGAAAUGGCAUAAAGGGUUCCAUCCAUGUUCCGUUAAAAUCUAGCAAAUUUAUGUUCCGUUAAAAUCUAGCAGAUUCAUAACGAAAAUAGCAUAAAGGGAUAAAUUAGAGUUUCUAUGGCACUGAUGCAAUCCGAAAAAUUUUCAUUUUCAUGACAUCGAGGGAAUUUGCUCAAUUAACUAUCAGGCAAUGAGAUUAAGUGAGAAGAUCACCGGGCUGUACCAACCACGCACAAACCGCGGAACAGAUACGAAAUAAACGGGAGCAGUACAUUUGGAUUACAAUUUCAACACUCUUUCUAAUGAGUAGGCAAUAAGAAAAUAGAGUUCAUUUGGAGAAAAUAUAAAACAAGAGUGCAUCGUCCAUUGGCAAGUACAGAAAUCGACUAGCAACACACAAAGUUGGGUCCUCUACACCUUACAUGGUUCAGUAGUUGACACUGAGCUUCAGAUGGCACUUGUUCGCACCUGCUACUCUACAGACACAUUCUCGAUACACGAACGUCAUUGCAUAUGCAACUCCACUGCCAAGCUGAUGCUGCUUUGCCCUUUGUUCUAAAAGACACAUUCAUGACAAAGUACUGAGUAAAACCGGAAACUGGGUGUUCAGGUGCUAUAACAACUCCAAUUCCAGCCUUAAAAGUCCAUUUGUAUGUAGACUCAUUCAUUUUCAAAACAACGUGCAAUUCCUCUUGCUUCUUCACAGCCACUAUAUGCUUGAACAUUGACCCACUUCCACAAAAUUUGCCAUCAUAUAGUGAAAUCUCCUCAUCAAACCCACUAGUUGAGGCACUAAUUCUCACGUCUGAUGGUUGUUCUGCUUCUGCAUUUACCUCUAUAACAGUCUCAAUGCUGUUACCUAGCAAAGCAAAUAUCAUGUUCACGCCAUAAACUUCGCCCUGAAACCGUCCUAUCAGGACGGAUCCGAAUCCAGCAAAAGAAGUGUCGAUUUCAACAUACCCACUAAACAACGGUGUGUCAGGAGAUCCUUCUUCCUCUUUUAUCCAAAGAUUAACAUCCAUUAAAAAAUAUGGACACACAUAUAUUCCACGACAUGGGCUACAAAGUGGCAGGAAAGAGCAACCCUGUAGGUAUACAAUGUUAGAACUUCUUAUAAUAUAAAAAGUAUAAGCGCUAUUAAAAAUAAGACCAGCAGAACAGUUCGGUAUAAUGCUGUACAACGCAUAAAAGCGAGUUCAACUGGUAGGUUAAUAGAAUGAAUCCGACAUCAUUUUUUUGUAAAGAAAUAUCACAAUUAAUGGUUUACUCAUGUUGGAAAGAACAUGACAUUUCUCCAACUAUGACCAUAGUUACAAGUGAAUUAGUCAAUAGUAAAGGAUCUGUUUUCCAAUGAGUAAGCUAACAGCGGCUUUUAAAUUUUAUAGUACACCCAUCAAUCCAAAUGGCAUUUAUCUACCAUGAUAAAAGAAUAGAAGUUUUACGGCAUAGUUUUUUAAAGGUCACACAUUCCUGAAAAGAGAGAACUGUGUGCUACAAAAAAUGAAUGGUGGUUUGAAGUAAAUUAAAGAUCCAUAUCACACGUGCAACCAGUAAGGUGAAAAACAGGAUCUAGAUGUAACCACAAAAUUGGGUAGGAGCUUUUCCAUAAAUCUAUUAUUUCUCACACCCAUGAUAUUCAACCUCAUCCAAUGCAUUAUUUUCAUUUAAGUGACAAUAGAACACUGUUAGCUGCUCUGCUACAGGAUUGUGUUUGGUUCAACAAGCUACCAAAAUUACAGGAUUUGGGCAAUCAGGAACAAUACAAAUGAUUCUAUAAUUUGAAACAUAUUUAAUGUCACCAAAUAACCAAAUCCUAUUCCAAUAUGUAAUGGUACCAUACCCUAGAAGCCAACUUCACAAAGUAAUAAAAUACAGUUCUGUGCAGAAGCAUACCCUUCCCCUUUCUUUUCAGACAACCCAAAAUAUAAAUUCAUAACUCUCAUAUUUGCGAGUAUAAAAAAUAAGAGUUGACACCGACUACACUUUACAUACGACCUGGCACCAGUACUUAUAUAGUUAUAUAUGCAUUGGCAUGGCAAGAAUUGGGACUAGCACGUCCAAGAUCAAGUCCAAACAAGUUGAAGCAUAAUAAAAAGCACUAAGCUCUAAGCAGACUGGUCAGAAAGGAGGCAAGCAAGAUUGGAGGUAGCACCUAGGAGCACCUAAGUGCCACAUAAUCAUCCCGCUUAAAAUAGUUGAAAACACAGGGUAAGGUAGCUAAUGAAAACUUGAAGGAAACAUGUGAUAAGGAUAACAGAGUUCACCAAUUAAAAAUGUAUUUUGUAAAAAUAAGACAUGCAGUAGACUUCUACCUACUGCUUUACACAGCAGAUUAGGAAAAACAAGUAGUGCCUUCAGACACUACAAUAGGUAGACAAACUUCCUGAACCUAACCCCCUCACACCAACAAGAGGGUGAUUUGACAUCUUUUUCCUCUACAGUAAUAAGUUUUUUAAUGAGUAGUCAGCAAUUAGUUUUAUCGUAUCAAAUAACUUUCCAAAGCUACCUUUCCAACUUGAUGAACUAAACAUCAUCACAAACCAAGGGAAUGAAAACAAGGAAUCAUUUUCCCUACGAACUUGCUAGUACCCGGACGUCCGAUGGGAGAUGUUCCCAUCGGAUGGCACCAAUCAUCAGCCACCGACAGAUUCUCACCAGGUGCUCUAACUGCCCAUCGCAACAUGAAACCACAACAUAUGCAACAUCACAGAUGAAUAUUUGCAACAUCAAAAUUAUUCUAGACUAGCUCAUUGCAUCCAACCAAUUUCAGACAAAAAUACCACCGAAACAUCGCAUGUUUCAUGCAACAUCGAUCAAAAUAAUUCUGAUUUAUUCAACAGAUCAUAAUAAGAGUGCUCCAACACUCAAAAUGUCGCAUCGCAACAUUCAUAAAUCAAAGUUGCAACACCUCCAAACAACAGUAGAGGAGAAGCCUCGUGGACGCGGUAGACGUGUGGUCCUCAUGACAGAGCUUCAAUUCAGGACAAGAACAAGCAUCACUUACCUGAGAAAUCAUGGCUGGAUCAUUUCUUGAGCGAUUAAAAAGAUAGUUGCGGAGUGGUUCCCAGGCAUCACGAACAGAAAAAUGCCCAUAAAUAUUAAUAGGACGAGCAAGAGGGCUUGAUAAUCCAAGGGAGAACACUUGCAUCAUCUCACAGGGUAUGAAAUACGGAUGAUCUAGUGCAGCUGCAAGUAUAAAAAAUGAGAAUUGGACUACACGAGAAAAAGAUAAAGUAGCAUGCCAUUGAUCAUUAGUUCACCUACUUUCAUCAGUAUCUCCGAUCCAAUACUGCACAUGGUAGCAGUCAUCUCCAGAAACACAGUUUUUGGUUACCCUUGGAAGAACACGUAGAGGCAACGCAGGCAAAGGAGUCGUGUUGUUGUUAAACAGGUCAGACCAUUCUGAGAGCAGGUCACCAUUCCUUUCCCAGGUAGAUUCAACUAUUUCUUUAGCUUCCUCCAGUGUAUACUUUUGUCCUGUAAAAACAACAGUUCCAUUCAACUGGUUAUUAUAAAACUCUUGUUUAAGGAAAAUCUUCGUUAAGGAACUGCAUGAAUUUUGUUGAUGCAAAACCAAUAUAAUUUUACAUCACGAUUUUGCAAGUUUCAUUCAUAACUAUUGUUUCUUCAGUUUUGGAAAAGGUCUUAGAUGUUACAGAUUACCGAGCGGCGUUCUCUUUGGUCUAAAAAAAUAUGUUACGCGUGUAGUUUCCAAAAAUACCAGCAGUUAGUUUCUCAUUACCUUCAGGGCAAAUAUGUAACGGAUACUCCCAGGGCCACUUGACUGGCAGAUACGGGUUGCCAUCCUCCUCGUCCCAACCCCUCAUGUCCUCUUCGCUGUCGUCUUCGCUGUCGUCUUCGCUGUCCUCUUCGCUGUCCUCUUCGCUGUCGUCUUCGCUGUCCUCUUCGCUGUCGUCUUCGCUGUCCUCCUCAUCCACGGUGUCGCCUCGGCCGCCGUUCUUCUCCUCCUCGCCGCCACCGCCGCCGCAUGUCUUCUCCUCAUCCCCAUCUUCGACGGGGCGCUCAAUUAUCUUCAACUUUGGAUCAGGCUCACCCUGUUCUUCCUGCACAACACACCAGAUUGCCUCCAUGAAUCGCCGCGAGGGAAUCGAUGGACCGAGAGGGCGAAAAUCAGAUUAGGGCCCGUUUGUUUCGCAGGAAUUGAAACCUAUUCUAGGAAUUAUAUUCUAGACAUUGGAUUCCAUCAGAAAUAAAUUACUCAGAAUUUGAUUCAAUUCAAUUUUUUUUGUUUGGGUGUGGAUGGAAUUUUUCUCCAUGAAUUAAAUUCCAUAUUCUGUUUGGAUAACCCAUAUAUCUGAUGGCGCCUGGGACACCUCACGCACGAAGUCCGAUCCGGUAAUUGGCACUAAACUGCCAAAUCGUGCGGCUUUUGCUGCCUCCCUGAGCUCUGCAAGCCUCAUCUUCCUGCAAACAUAAAAUUAAAUCAAAUCGCCAGAAUAAAUUCCCACUUAUACCUAACCAAUCACAAAACGCAACGAACAAUCCAAGCCCAGUAGUACAGCACCGGAUCCAGAUCAACAAUGGAAAGAUAUCAGAUUACUAUCGGAAGCACACCAAUUAUACCGUUUGACCAUGCGAGUCAGAUCAAAUCAAACGCUGCAGGCACUGGAGCAUCUCAAGAUUCAGCCAAGAACAGACGGAAACAGAAAAGAAAAGGACACAAUCACGGAUCAGCAAUCAAUCAGAACGCAGACCAGAUCGAGUCCAAGGAGAGGGGAUACCUGUACUGCUCGAGAAAGCGGUCGUCGUCCAGGUCAUCCUCGAGUUCCUCGAGCUCCUCGGGCUCACGCGCGUCAAGCCAUUCCUUGGACUUGGGCUGCUCGUCGGCCUCGACCUUGGGAGCGAAAGCCGGCGACUUGAAGGGCUCCGGCUUCGGGGGUAGAUUCCCCAGGCGGCGCUGGCUGUCGCCCCACUGCGUGCUCGUCCCCUCCACGUCCUUGUACACGAAGCGGUAGUCCAUCAUGGCCGAGCACCGCGAGCGCAGAUAGAGAGAGAUGCGCAAAACCGCGAGGGGGACGGGGAGAAGUGGAGACGCGAAGGGACGAGACGAUGAGGAGAAAGGGACGCGAAGGGCGUGUUGGAGGUGGAGGUCCCGCGGCUUCUCCGACUUCGGUGACGUGGGGAACUGUCCGGGGCAGCGCCGAGUGAGCGGAUCUGAACGGCGGCGAGCUUUCAGUCGGGGAAGGGAAGACGAAGGAGGUGCAGCGCGGCGGAGGAGGGGGCGCUGGAGGAGGCGGCACCGGGGGAGGGCGUCGGAGGAGGCGGCGGAGGAGUGGGCGCCGGGGGAGGGCACCAGAGGAGG